rnacentral:lncRNA from 1 species
GUUCAUGGAUUAACGAAAAUGUGCAAGAGCUCUAUUUGCCUCUGCCAUUCUAUGAGUCGCUUCCUUUUUGCGUAUGGCACCCCCACUCCCUUUGGCAGCAUCUACUAAUUCGGAACUUAAUUUGAAAGCCAUAUUUCGACCCAGACGCUUUUGGGAUGCUUCUAAUAACCAACGAAUGGCAAGUGCUCUUCCUUGUUUAGAUCCUAUUUCAAUCGGAACUUUCCGCGUCGAUCCUUUUUUAUUACGUCUUGUUUUUACUCCUAUAUUGGGAGUUACUCUACGUAUUGCUUGACGUAAAACCAAUAGUGGAUUUGUUUCUGUCUUUUGUUGAAUCUUUUUCACGGCUCGAUAGAGAAUUUGAUAAGCCAAUGAUUUUUUUCCGUCUUUCAUAAUACGGUUAACCACCAUGUUAACUAAUCAAUUACGAAAAAUUGGAUCGGAUUUUGCGGUUCUUUUUUCUGCAGUACCUCGACGUGACAUGAGCGUGAAAGAGGUUCAAGAAUCUGUUUUCUUUUUAUAAGGGCUCAAUGGGAAAGAGCCCUAAUUCGAUAUGGAGUGGGAUAGUUGGUAUUGGCAAGGUGUACGCAAUGAAAAGUAUCUAAUCAAUAUCGGGUAUGCUUAUGAGCUAUUGUGCAUUUCACCCUGCCUUCACUUCGUUGACUUCCGUGUUCCUGUACCGGCUAGUUCGUUGACUUCCGUAGCCGAGGGGUUGGGGUUAAACAGGAGUCGUUAGGGUUACGGCUACCCACCUAGACGAAUACCUUUGCCUUUGCUCUAGCGCUAGGAAUCGUAGUCCUCGUAGGAAUCCUAAAACGAAUGUUUAAUUUCUUUAAGCCGUCCCCGUAAAAUUGUUCUUCAUUAUCGUUUAGGAUGUAGAUCCUAUUCUGUUCACUAUCCUUUAUGUAAUGACGCCUAAAGAUAGAGAGGGCCAGUGAAGAGAUUAUCUUUACUGCAAUUCCAUUCAAUUUGAUAGGGGACUACCCAAUAAUAGAGCGCCAGUAUGCUUAUGGACGGAGCCUGAGAGCGGCGGAAUGUUGAAGCUUAUGUGGAUGACGUCGUCGUCAAGACCAGGAUGUCCAGCGACUUAAUUGCGGAUUUGGAGGAAACAUUUAGCAGCCUGCGCAGAUUUCGGUGGAAACUCAAUCCCACCAAGUGCGUCUUCGGAGUACCUUCAGGGAAAUUGCUCGGGUUCAUCAUCAGCAACCAAGGCAUUGAAGCUAACCCUGUAAAGAUCACGGCCAUCUCUGAUAUGGAGGCUCCGGCCACAAUCAAGGAUGUGCAGAAGUUAACAGGUUGUAUGGCGGCCCUGAACAGGUUCAUCUCCCGACUCGGGGAGAGAGGACUACCUUUCUUCAAGCUCCUGAAAUGCCAAGAUAAGUUCCAAUGGACGGAGGAGGCUGAGUGGGCCCUGCAGGAUCUGAAACAUCAUCUUCAGUCACCUCCGAUCCUUACAGCACCGUUGCCAGGGGAGGAUCUACUACUUUACAUCGCGGCAACAACUCAUGUUGUCAGCAGUGCUAUUGUAGUCGAGCGAGGCGAGGACGGCCAUGCGUUUGGAGUGCAGAGUCCUAUCUACUUCAUCAGCGAAGUCCUCUCCGAAUCCAAGAUACGGUAUCCAGCUGUUCAAAAACUUUUAUACGCAAUCUUAAUCACAUCAAGAAAGCUACGCCAUUACUUCGACGAGUACAAGAUUACUGUGAUCACGGAUUUCCCGUUGGGGGAUAUUCUUCAUAAUCAAGAUACCACGGGGCGCAUAUCCAAGUGGGCCGUGGAACUGGGGGCUUUGUCAAUUGACUUCAAGCCACGCACGGCAAUCAAGUCACAGGCUCUAGUCGACUUCAUGGCUGAAUGGAGGGAGAAUCAAGUCCCAACUCCAGUGGACAAGACAGAGCACUGGACCAUGUAUUUUGAUGGGUCCCUCAAGCUCGACGGCGGCAGCGCUGGUGUUCUGCUUAUUUCUCCACGAGGUGACCAAUUGAAAUAUGUCCUUCAGAUCCUGUGGGCAGUAUCCAACAAUGAAGCUGAGUAUGAAGCCUUGCUUCACGGCCUUCGUUUGGCGAUAUCACUAGGGAUCAAGCGACUACUUGUAUAUGGCGAUUCUCUUCUUGUUGUUCAGCAGGUCAACAAGGAAUGGGACUGCAACAAGGAUACGAUGGACGCUUAUGUACAGGAAGUGCGCAAGUAGGAAAGCAAUUUCUCUGGCUUGGAGAUUCAUCACGUAUUGCGGGAGCACAACGUUGGCGCGGAUAUCCUGUCCAAACUGGGGUCCACGCGUGCUCAGGUUCCGCCGGGAGUCUUUGUCCAGGAGCUCAAGCAGCCAUCCAUCAAGUCUUCUCCGUAGGUAACCAUCGACGCAGGUCCCCAACAACCCGAUCGAGAGGUUAUGGUGCUGGGGGAGGACUGGCGAGAGGCUUUUAUCGACUUCAUUCGAGAUCAGCGGCUACCAGCAGGGAUCGACGCCAAGAGCACGGAGGCAGCACGUGUCUUGCGAAGAAGCAAGGGCUUCAUCCUGGUCGACGGCAAGCUCUAUCGGCGCGGCGCUCGGUCAGGAGUUCUCAUGAAGUGCGUAACAACGGAAGACGGUUACAACAUACUGCCGGAGAUCCACGAGGGCAUCUGUGGAAACCAUGCGGCUUCAAGAACGCUGGUGGGGAAAGCAUACAGGGCCGGUUUCUGGUGGCCACUGCAGUGACCGACGUGGAAGAUCUCGUGCGCAGGUGCCAAAAUUGUCAAUUCUUCGGCAAACAGACUCAUGUUCCAGCUCAUAGCCUCAUCACUAUACCGCCAUCUUGGCCCUUUGCUUGUUGGAGUCUUGAAAUGAUCGGGCCCUUCACGACGUUGCCAGGCGGUUUUACCCAUGUUCUGGUGGCUAUUGACAAGUUUACUAAGUGGAUCGAGUACAAGCCGAUAGCCAAGCUCACGCCAGAUCGGAUCGUCGACUUCAUCUCAGAUAUUUUGCAUCGUUUCGGCUUCCCCAACACCAUCAUCACGGACUUGGGAUCAAAUUUCACGGCAAACCAGUUCUGGGAGUUUUGCGAGAACGCUUGCAUCGAAGUUAAAUACGUCUCGGUUGCACACCCAAGGGCCAAUGGACAAGUCGAAAGGGCGAACGGCUUGAUCAUUGACGGCCUCAAGAAGAGACUUUAUGAUGAAAAUAGCAAGAAGGGAGGCAAAUGGGUGCAUGAGCUGCCACACGUCGUCUGGGGGCUUCGGACUCAGCCGUCCAAAGCCACAGGUCAAACACCUUUCUUCCUUGUAUAUGGAUCUGAAGCUAUUCUACCAGCCGAUAUCAUGUGGAAGUCUCCAAGGGUCGAAAUGUACAAUGAAGGCGAGGCGGACGAGGCGUGGCAGUUAGAGCUCGAUUCUAUGGAAGAAGCUCGUUGCACCGCUCUUGUUCAGUCAGCUCGGUACCUGCAGGGGAUCCGGCGAUAUCAUGAUCGCAACGUCAGGGAGCGGUCAUUCAAUGUUGGCAAAUUGGUCUUGCAUCGUAUUCAGGACGAAUCUAGCCUACACAAGCUCAACUCAAGGUGGGAGGGCCCAUUCAUCGUCAAGCAGGUUACAAGGCCAGGGUCUUAUCGACUACAAUAUCCUGAGGGUCAGGAUGUCCCGAACUCCUGGAAUGUUCAGAACCUGCGCAAGUUCUACCCUUAAGUCGAGGCCCGGUGAUCGCUGAAUCCCCGGGGGCUCAGAAGAUCUCUUUUCCCCGAAUCAAUUUGGAGGCUAUGAGCCACAUGACUCGGUUUAUACAUUCCUUCUUACUUGCACGACGGCCAUGGUCACGUGCAAACACAUAUAUAAAUCGACUUCUCGUCGUGAAUGAUGCGGGGGCUACGGCCACGAUCAUCUCCUUGUGACUUCAGUUCCUGACGGACCCGCCGGCUCCGUCCAACUCCUCUACAUAUCGAGUCCCGCCGCGAUCAUGGAUGGUCGCACGCGACAGUAGUCGCAUUUUUUCCAACAUAGUCGAUCCGUUCGACUAGCUUACACCCAGUACGUUGGAAAGGCUCGCAUAAAGAGCUAUCUCGACUACAACCUGAGUGGCUGCACUCAGAACAGUCUUGUUUUUGCCAAAAGAACGGCAAACCCGCGACAACACCCGCACCUGCUCCUCGCAAGCUCGAUCCGUCCGUUCGGGUCCUACCUAGCUUACGGAGCAUGCUCACAGCAUGAGCGACUUUCGACUACGCUCAGAGUCGCCGCACUCGGGGUAGUCUUGUUUUUCUGCCCUGCGCACGGCAAUCUCACGACGAUGCUCGCGUUCUUUCCUAACAAGCUUAGACCCGCUCGAUCGAGUUAUGGCUAAUCUCUUAGACGAGUAUUAGCUACCCUUCGUGUCGUUGCACCCAGGAAAGCGUCUACUACUUGAGCCUUGUAAUCCUGGAUCCAAAUUCAGCUAAUGCACGCAAACAAGUAGAGAUAUCAAGUGAAGUAUUUACAUAAGGGAAUGACUACUUGUCUCUCACACCCUAAUCUUGCAGUACACUGUGUACAAUUUGUUCUGCUAUAGGUUGGGCCUCUCCCAGGUACUCAUCGAAUCGUUCAUCCGUGCAGUCCGCCGCCAUCCCCUGCGCAAAAAUGUCUACCUGCGCGUUUGGCAAGAAGGAUUUUACAUACGCGAGGGCAUUGCUAACGCAUGCGACUGGAGCCUCAGACAGGAAUUUGAGCACUUUCUUCGGGGCUUCGCGGAGUCGCCCCAGCAGAGGCCGCAGGCUCGCUUCGCCUUCUUCUGGGGGAUCCACCAUGUCCACCAGCUCCUGGCGGCCCCCCUGAGGUCCUCCAGCUCCUUCCGCUGCUGCUCGUCCUUCUUGCCCAGCGUUUUGAUUUGCUGAAGGCAGUCGACGAACUGUCGUUCAGUAUCGCCGAUCACCUUCUGCAGCCUUUCGACAUCAUUUGUACGACGAUACAGCAUAUUCUUCACGUCAGUAAGCAGCUCCUCUUUGUGUUUUAUUAUUUUCCUAAGCUCUGCGGUGAAGAUACUUCAGCGACUCAGGGAAAUUACUAAGGAAAAGUACUCGAGGUAAGCGAGGGCCUACCUUGGUGCGCUUUCUUCUCUUCCUUGAGCUGCUCCUGGUACUCCGCUUGUUGCUCCUUGAGCUAUUUUUGGAGCUCGGAGUUGGCCUUCUCGAGGUUUUUCAGGUCAUUCUUGAGUAGCCAAGUCUCUCGAGUUCUUUCCUGCUUCAGCAUGUCCAGCUCUCGCUGCAGAUAGCAAUUCUUCAUAAUUUCUUCGGAGACGCGCUUGUCCAGGGCAGCUAACUCUCGCGCAUCACUCACAACCGCGCUGAGCUUCUCCGAUUUUUUCUGGGACUUAGUGAUUACAUGCUGCGCAAAAGGCGGAGAUUGAGUCAAAACAGCUCAUCAAUAUGCACAACUGGAACAUUACCCAAGUAUUACCAUGGAAAAUCGUAUAACUCCUUGAAGGUGCUCUUGAAGGUCUUGAAAUUUUCUGCCGUCAGCAGGGGGUCGUCCACCAGGUCAGUGGUGAUGACGUUCUUGUACCCCGGCCCGGCCCUUAGUAUCUCACGGGGAUUUCUCGAGGACCCGGCGAUAUCUUCGGGCGGUGGUUGCUGGACACCUGCAAGUACACAAUGUUGUCAAUAUAUUGCGCCCAGAUCUCGGUAGCCAGCCGCGGGCAGAUAAGCGCGUACCUGUGCCAUCAGUAGGAGCGGCAUCAGGGGUUUUGACUUGUUCUCCGCCACCAGUUUUGGCUUCGUCUUGUCGGAGCUCAGGAGGCGGCAAGUCGGGGAGCGUCGCAUCUGCUUCAGGGGACAGCUCCGUGGGUACUGGUUCUCCAGGCGCCGAUGGCUCGGAGGCUGCAGCAGCUGGGGCCGGUUCCGCACCGAAAGGAUCAGUCCGGGUUGAUGGCUCUGGGGCUGCAGUAGCCGUGCCCGGGUCCACCUGAAGCUGCACCACGCUUGCAGCCCUGAUGAUGUCGAAGUCGUUGUUAUACAAGCUGGCAAGAGCAAGAUUUUUAUGCGACCGGAGGUAAACUCACAGUGUAGACUUUUUUUUGGCGGCCUUUUUCACCCGCAAAGCCCGUCGCAGAAUCCCUGUUGCUGGCGGCGAGGUUCGAUCAGCCGAUUGAGCGGUCCCCGCCACGGAAAUGGUCACUGCCGCGACGGCGGAUGGGCCUGUUUCCACCUCUUCGGGUUCGGUCUCGGGUGGCAGAGCAGGAAGACUGCAAGUGGAUACUGUCAGUAUUCAAUGCUAUUGAUACUUGGCAACUCGUCAACACAGCAAAUUAGUACCUGGAGGACUCGACUUCUUGCGCCUUGCGUUUGCGCACCAGUCGAUGGCCCUUUGGCACCAGUGGUAAUGCGCCGGUCAGCUCCACUCUUUGCUCGGAGGAGUUGUCACGACGCGCCUCUCCUUCGGCUUCCUCCCAUGCCCGAGAGCUCACGUCCUCGGCGGACCCGCUGCUACGUUGAGCUGCAGCAACGCGAGCUCUCUUGGCCUCAACGGCGGCACUGGGGAGGAGGUGGUCUGGUCGGGGGAUGUCCGGUCGCGGCGGGUAGCUACGGUACAGCUCCGUGUGUCCCUGCAGGAGGUUCUUCAGUUAAGUAAUGUAGCAACAGAGGUUGUCUUCAGCAAAAGAAGUCGAAUACUUACUGGUUUGGGCGGAUUUCGUGCUGAAAAUAAUGUUGGCACGUAUGGCACGGCGUCCACGUCCAUCAGCACCCGCUGAACUCGAUGGAGUGCGGCUUCGUCGGACAACUCCUCUGCGCACAUGCGAGAGGAAUCUUCAGCACCUAAAUCCUCAAAUCCAAAACUGUGGCAUUGUUGGAUCGGUUGGACUCGGCGUUUGAAGAAGGAGAACAUAACGGACGCGCCGGUCACUCCCGUCGUCUUGAGUGCUUCUAUGAUUGUUAAAAGCUCAUCGACUUGAUCCAGGUCUCCUCUCGUCAGUUCAUGAUUCCACUCGGCCUCACUACAGGUGGUCUGUUUGUUUUCCCAGGGAGCUGGGGGGCAUGAUUUUUAAUGUAGAACCCAUGGUUCUUCCAACCGGGGAGGUUUGAGGGGAAUUUGUAUGAAAGGUAUCUUUCGCCGGCCUGCUAUCGCAGUUGGAUGCCGGCGCCCCCUACAACAGAAAGUUUCUUCGUGGUAGGCUGGGGUUUGACGCGGAAGAGAAAGCGGAAUAGAUCCCAGUGGGGUUCGAUUCCGAGAAAGGCUUCACAGAAGUGGAUGAAAAUGGAAAUAUGGCAAAUGGAAUUAGGGUUGAGGUGAUGGAGCUCAAGCCUGUAAUAAUAAAGAAGGCCAUGAAAGAAGGAACAAGUGGGGAGGGCCAAUCCCCGUUCGGCAAAAUGGAGGAAUGUGACGAUUUCGUCGACAUUUUCCAUGGGGAAAGGUUCACGGUAAGAGGGGCGCCAAUUGACAAGGUUCUUUUCAUGCAGCAACCCCACGGAAACUAGUUUGUUCAGAUUGUUGAGGGAGCACUUACUGUGUGUCCACUCCGCGGUCGAUGGCUGCGCCUCUUUCUUCUUUUCCCCGAUCUCUGACUUCUUGGACGCCAUCUCUGAUGCGCUGGCCACGAGAUGCUCGGGGGCUGCGGGAAGAGGGGCGGGGAGGUCGGAGCAGGAGGAUUUCUUUGGGGGAUGGCGGCGGCGCUUGGUCCCGAUUGGGAAUUUCGGCGGUUCUUGGCAAAAUGCAGAUUGAACGCACAGUCUUUUCCACUAUUAUCUUGGGGUUAAAUAACCAGCGGGGUGGGGAAAGAUUACUGUUCCGAAGUCGAAGGGUCAUUUUUUGGAAUAUGCCGAAGAUGAGAGGUCAUUUGGUGGACUGUUUGGAUUAAAUAUUCGAUUAAUCAUUUUUUCAGGGCUAGUUAGCUCGAAAGAAGGGAUUUUUCGAAUUGGUGAUCUAGCUUCUAUCAUUUGUAUCAUCAUUUUGGUACUUUUUCAAGUUAUCAUUUUUAACCUGCAUGCCACGGUUUUAGAUCCUUCACUCCAUAUUCGUGGAAUUUGGAUUUAAGGCUCGGGGGCUGUGGGGUACGUGGCAUCGACUACUUAUUUUUCAAAUUUCUUUGAUGAAUAAGGAGGAUUACAGACAAAUGGGACCCUCAGCCUGAUUCUCUGAUUCAACCUAAGGCUCAGGGGCUACUCCAUAUGGAGUGCGAUUUUUAAAUCGCACACCAUAACAAAAAUUCGGGGCAUGAGCACCUCAUAGCUUCGAUGCAGCCAAGCAAAUACUCGAAGAAGGACUUCAAGACGAAGCUCCAGAAGAAGUCGAAGACUGCUUCGAAAGUACUCGAUAAGCCUGCAGUACUCAGCUACAAAGAGCUCGGGGGCUUGUCAGACCCGGGGCCACCGGGCUGGGCACAUAACGUAGUUUAAAGAGGUCUAAGAGAUUAAGUCUGUCUUAUCUCUUAUUCAUUUUGUUUAUCUUUUGUUUAUCCCGUUUAAAUAGGAGAUAGAGCUAACCAACACGGAGGGGAUCUACUCGAGAUAUGUUCUGGUAUGAUCCCUCAGCGGAGGUUGGUUAGCAUCUUUGUAACUCUGGCCUCUCGGAUAUAUAAGGGAGGUCAGGGACCCCUCUCAAAAUAAGAUCUCUAGGUCAUUCUACACCAAAGGGAAUACAAACCACCAUACAGGACGUAGGGUGUUACGCUCCGUGCGGCCCGAACCUGUCUAAGUCUUGUGUUCCUUGCACCUUCGAGUUCCUGAUCUCGGUGUCUCCUCACCCAAAACUUACCACCUUGGGUAUAUCCCUCGGUGGGCAGCCGGUUAAACACCGACAGGAUGGCAUAGGUUCUUGAAUGUCACCUUGGGCAUGAUGUUGACACUUGCUCCAAGGUCGCAAAGGGCCUACUCGAAGUGAUAGUCGCAGAUUGAACAGCUAAUCAUUGGGUAUCCCGGAUCUUCCGUUCUUGGUGCUGCCAAUCUUCCCUGCCGGUCUCUUCUUGGACAUGAGAGCUUCUCUGCAUAGGUAGUAAAAGAUGUAUCCUGUGGGAGCUUACCCUAUUUGGUGGUAACUAUGUUGAUACUAUCCAGGGAAGCUUCAGGUGGCCCUGGAAUUAUUCCGAUUUCAGCAGAGGGUACAGCAACAGCUAGCUGAGCUAGUUUAGUUUCAAGCAUCUUGUUGAAGCUUAGCUGACUCUUGAUAGCGGAGAAGAUGCCAUCCAUCUUCUCUUGAAUGGUCUCCAAGGUCUUGUUGUUGGCGGCCAUCUUCUUUUGCAGUGAUUCAUUGACUUUUGCUUGGCCUAGGACAUGAUUCCUCAAGGAAGGUUGGUUAGGAUUAAACAAAUUUGAAUUACCAUUACCUCCUUGGUAGUAGGGGCAUGACUGAUUCCACCCCUGACCUCCUUGUGGAUGAAACCUAUUGUUGUUGUUGUUGUUGUUGUUCAUGUACAUGACAUCUUCAUGGGUUUCGGGGUAGUCGUUACCAGAAUGUCCGGUGUUACCGUAGACCUCGCACAUCAUGCGAGCAUCCAAGGCUUGAAGUGUUUGCAUCGGAGCCUUGUCCUCGGGUCGUUCCUCGAUCUUCUUGAGGAGGAGGCUGAGCUUGGCAGCGAGCAUGUCCAUCUCCUUGAUGGUGUGCAUGCCUUUCUGGCAUGGUUGGGGACGUUCUUUGUUACAACCUUGGUUGCGCACCAUCUUCUCGAUCAAAGUCUUAGCCUUGUCAAUGGUUAGCGAGAAGAAAGCACCACCUGUGGUAGCAUCGAUGUGGUCGUGGGCAAUUGGAGUCAGCCCGCUGUAGAAGUUGUAAAGGAUGAGCCAAUCGUCCAUCCCAUGGUGAGGACACGCUAGGAUGUACUCCUGAAGCCUCUCGCAUGCUUUAGAUAUAGACUCAUUUGACACCUGCUGGAAACUGAAGAUUCUUCCUCGAAGAGCAUUGGUUUUGCCCAUCGUGAAGAACUUAGUGAGAAAUGCCUUCGUGCAAUUAUCCCUAGUGUCCACUACACUUAUGUUGGCUUGGCCUUCCCUGGAAUAGAAAAUGGAAUCAGUUGGAGUCGGAUUGCAUCGUGAGUGACUCCCUUAAUGACAAAAGUGCUGCAGAGCUCCAGGAAUUCUUGGAGAUGUGCGCUGGCAUCCUCGUUGGCCUUGCCACAGAAUGGGCUGGCCUGCAUCAUUGUAAUGAGACCCGUUUUGAUCUCGAAUAUUUCAACUCCUGUAGUAACGGAUGGCCUGACCGGGACAUUGUCAGCUGAGGGAGCAGAGAAAUCCCGAAGUGUCUUCUGGGCCAUGGUCCUUGAAGUUGAUGGGGCAAUAUUGACUGAUUCGGCUGUCGAGAGUGAAAUCUGAGGAUGUACGACACAGGGUCGAAGUCUUCUCAAAAGAGACUUCGGAUCCUGAAUGAAAUUAUGCGGCAGAUCAAAACCAGUCAUACACUACCCUAUUUUCAUAUCAAAGAGAGAAAACAAAGCCAAGUUAGCCUGUUUAAACAAUGAAUACCAACUAAAAUAUUAAUCAAGAACUUAGUUUAUUCUUUUAACUAGUGCCUUCCCCGGCAAGAGUGCCAAAAAUGCUUGUUGGCAUUUGUUAGCAUCAUCACUAGGAUCAUUAAUCCCUAGCAAUGGUGCCUAAAACGCCGUGUGAUAUUUCUUACAUCAUAGAUAAAUCCUCAAGCGUACGGAAUACCAUUGUAGCAUUUUACCCGUGAGUAAUCUUGGGUGUCGUAUUUAUAUUUCUGCAGGAAUGGCAGCGGUUAUAGAAUAAAAAAGUUCAUGAUCAAAUCUUGGUUGAGUAUUCGAUUGUAUAAACAGGGGCAAGAUAUAUAUUGAUAAUGAGGUAGUAUGACACACAAGUUACUCAAGCUCAAACUCAGGCAAAGGCAUAGGUAGGGAGAAAGGAAGAAGAAAGCUACUCGGAAUUUAUGUACUUCUAUCUAGAUAUAUAGCUUAUACUAUACACUCAUUACACAUACACAUGAUUAUUCUUAGCUCUAGGCUCCAGGCAUUACCGGAAGAACCGCACAUGAUUGGCAAAGGAGCCACCAGACAACUCGGCUACUUUAUGGACCUCCUACAACCACUACCCAAACGGGGAGGGUUAUGCUGGAUGGACAGGGCUGUCACCACCUGCCACCUACCUCAUCGAACAAUGGGAUAGGACCGCAUCCGGCAACACUGACUAGCCCAGACACCACAUCUAUGCUAAUGAGCGAUACUCUAGCAUCCCGUGUGGAGCCCCCACCCUCCGGAUGGACAGACAUCACACUAGAGCAAACAUACGAAUACCGAAACCAUUACUGUGGCACUAGAUUUACUCUUCUAAUCAUGCAAGGCAUAAGUUUUGAAUACAAAUUAAUCAUAGCAUACAUGUUUGACACCGCAAUAUAUAAACUAUGCAAGUAUGUAAAUCCAGAAGAUAACCCUAUUAAAGAUAUCCGAGAAUUACAAAGGAGAGGAAGAGAUAAACCCAUACCGAACACUCCUAGGCAACCUCGGGAACCUAAAGAGAGCUACUUCAGCCUAAACUCUACUAACCUAUGGACUAAGAAAGAGAGGAACUUAAGAGAGAGCAACUUGAGGUGUGUCUUAAUCCUACCCCCCUCCCCUCAUAUUUAUAGGUGUGUCCAAGGGUGUUUUGGCCAUGCAAACAGCUAAAGCCUUAGAUAACCAACGUUCGGGACCAAUGGGGAGGCACCAUAUUGAAGAACUAAGUCAGUGGAGCUGGUCCUGGUUCGGCCGAACCACCUGGUUCAGACGACACAAACCUGGAUCCAACCGUCCUGAUCUUUGGCUGGGUGGCUGACAGAUGUGCCCUCAAGACAAUGGUGCACAGGUUGGUGUUGUCCUUAGGCUGUUGCAUGUCCUAGUGGGCCUUUGAUCCAUGCGAGGCUGAAUGGUGCGUUCAGAUUGGUCGUAUAGCUUUUGCCAUAGAUUUAAGGGUGUGUUUUCCCUCCAUUUCUGCACAAAUCGCUGCAUAGCACUAUUUUUCAAGGGACAUAUGAAAUGACAUUAUUCAAGAUAUUUAUGCGUACAAGAAAUGGUAGUUCUUCCAAUUUUCUGAUCAAAUUAAUGGUCAAAAUUGAUCUAUAAUGAGCGUCAACAGCGCCGACCAAUCAAAAUGCACCGAGCAGCCCCACAUGGAUCCAAGGGCCCACCAGAGCAGGAAACCGACUUAUGACAGCAUCAACUCACCUGCCAUGGACCAGAGGGCCCACCUGCUAGCCUCCUGCCCAAAGCUGAGGUUGGUUGGAGCUCAAUCUGGUUUGGCCGAAUCAGGUGGUUUGGCUGAACCAAGCCAGCUCCACCGACUUAAACCUUCAAUGUGGCAUCUCCUCAUUGGCUCCCAAUGUCGGUUCAAGGAGGCCCCAACUGUUUUUCCGGCCGCAACUCCCUUCCAAAGCAGAGGUUGGUUGGAGCUCAACCUGGUUCGGCCGAACCAGGUGGUUUGGCUAAACCAAGGCCAGCUCCACCGACUUAAACCUUCAACGUGGCAUCUCCUCAUUGGCUCCCAACGUUGGUUCAAGGAGGCCCCAGCUGUUUUUUCGGCCGCAGCUCCCUUGGACACAUAUAUAAAUAUGAGGGGGGGGGCGGUUAGAAUCAAGACACACACACAACACAACGAUUUGGACAAGUCUCAGCUGAAAACAAGCGACCGCUUGAACCGAUGUCAUCAAAUAUCAACUAAGCGCUUCAAAUGAAGAAGAAGUCAGUAGUACCAGUUUAACCGAUGCUAUGGACAGUAGAUGUUUGUGCAAUUCUCAGUUGGUCUGGUGCUAUGCAUAGAAGCUCCAAAAGGUUUUGGGUAAAAGUGCCUUCAGGACCGAUUGAACCGGCGCUCAAGAAGAAGGCAUCGGUGUCAAACCCGAGGCCACGGGACUGUGCACAUGGCAUACAUAUUAUAGGAUAAGGGAUAGGAUAUGGUCCACACCCGAUAAGGGAUAGGAUAUGGUCCACACCUGUAACAUCCUGAAAAUUUUACCCAGAAAUCACGCGCUAAGAUUUUCGUUUUCGAGAACCGUUCCACCGAAACCCUAAAUUUCCCGGCACCCGAAUCCGAUCGCAGUCACGCCAUCUUUUCCCCCUCGUGCAGCGCGCGGACGCCGCGCGCGCGUGACCGACCAGCCGCAGUCACCGCCGUGAAAUUCGCCGCGCGGUCGCCGCCGCGAAUUCCGCCGGCGCGCGUCACUUCUCCCUUUUUUUCCAUUAUUUCUUUCCCCUUUUUCCCUUUCCUCCCUUUUCCCUUUUUCCUUUUUCCCAUUUUCCUUUUCCCUUUUUCCUUUUUCUUCCCUCCCUUUUUCCUUUCUCCUUCCUGUUUCUUCCUCCCUGCUCCUCUGCUCCCGAGCGCCACCCCGCACACCGCUCCGGCCUCUGGCGCCCCUGCCCUUGCGCGCACGCCACCCCGCCCUCGCGCGCACGCCGCCGUACGCGCGCGCGCCGCCGACCCUCGCGCGCACGCGCUUCACGCGCACGCGCAUGGCCGAGCCGCGACGCGCUCGCGCACGCGCCGCCCGUCGCUGGCGCCCUGCCCGACCGCGCGCGCCGUCCCCUCCUGGCCACUGUGGCCGCACAGCGCCCCGCCCUCGGCGCCCACGCCGCACGGCGACGACCGCAAGCCGCCGAGGCACCAUUAAUGGCGCCCCGUGCAGCCCGCCGGCCGCCACCCCCCCGAGGGCCUCCUUCCCGCCGCCCUCUCCCUAUAAAUCCCCCCCCACCGCACAGCCCACCUCCCCACGGCCUCCACCGCCACCUACAACCCCUCCCCGAGCCCGUAAUGCCGCCGCCGCUCACAGCUUCCCCGCCGCCCGCCGCCCACCGUGGGGGCGCCCCCUCGCUCCACCUCGGCCCGAGGUAAGGCCGGGGAUGGACUCCCCGUGCCCCCCUCCCCCUUCUCCCCCACACGCUCGAGCCGCCCCGGGCCUCGGCCGCCGGGAUUGGGCCGGCGCCGAGCCCCCUUUCCCCCUCCCCUGUUUCCUGCGGCAGGAGGAAGAAGAAAGGGCCAUUUGCCCAAAACCCCCCCCCCCCUUUCUUCUAUUUUCCCAAAGGAACCCCCCAUCCACUCCCUUUUUGCAAACAAAGCCCUGCUCUCCCCGUUAUUUCAAACCAAACCCCUCGAUGCAUAAACCUAGAUGCACUUGACACCUUUUAGCAUACUCGGGGUAUUUCUAGGAUUUACAAAUAGGCCCUUACUCUUUCCAGAUACUUACAAAUAGACCCCUAGAACCCUGUUUAACCACCCGAACCCUCUUUACCUCGUCAUUUUAUGUGCGAAAUGACCUCCGAUCGACCCGAAACUUUGCCACGCCCUUCUUAGUAUAGUUUUAACCAUGCCAUUAAGAAACCACCCGGAGAUAUCACCCCUAACUCCGUAACUAAAUUAUUUCCGAUUCGAGCUCAACGAUAAAAGCUUUAAGUUCUUGUGCUUGAUUGUGUGUCUGUUUGUUUGCGUCGUAGGACACGGAGUGAACGAGGAAGGCCUCGACUGUGAUCAAGCGAACGAGAACCAGUUCCGCGACUCCGAGCCCGAGGGGCAGUGCUACGAUCAGGACCUCCCGCAAGAGUUUGACGAUGGCAAGUUCAAUUCCGCCCUUUGAUGCAUGUUUUUGUCCUAGUUUUUAUAAACACAACCUGAUGGCCUGUUUUAUAAAAUUGCAUGGUUUUGCGUGCCGUAACCAUGGUAGGAUAGCCACCCUUGUUGUGACAACCAUACCUUGACCACCUGAUUUUAUAAAGAAAAUGCGUGUGUGUGGGAAAGGGUAAAAUGUGGAUUUGAGAAACGAGUCGGACGGGAUGGAUGGCAUUUCUGUGUGAAUUGCCGUUGGUGUGCUCGUACCUGUGUGGUUGAGCAUGGAGGGGAGAUAUCCAUCUUGUCACCCCUAAGGACCGAGUUGAUGUGUCGUCUCACCUAGCUUCCUGUCGUGCAAACCACUUGACCGUUGUAUGGGCAACGGCUUGGCCUAACCCCACUAGUUAGUCUGAUAGCCAUCAGGAGAGCUGGGAGCAACGGGUGAUCAAGGAGAUGGGAUAAGCUCUGUGUGACUUAUGCCCCGGUUAAACCUCGGUGGUAGGUCGAAUGACCCCUUGAUAAAUCCCGUGGUGGCUAGUCAGGUCUAGCUAAGGUGGGUAAGGGCUUCGAUGGGAUCUGCACCGGCACUAAGGUGUUCGUGCUGUGGUACCCCACCUGUGGGUAAAGUUGCACACCUCUGCAGAGUUGAAAAUCUAUUUGAAUAGCCGUGCCCACGGUAUUGGGCAAGUUAUGGUGUGGUCACAUAACUAGUGUUUCUCUCUGGAAAUGAUUGGGCUGGUGUGAGUCGUUUGGAAAGUGUCCGGCAGUUGUGCCGUGAGCUACGGCGGACGGGGAGUCCGGUAGCAUUUUCAAACUUGGAUCCUGUGUGGAUCAACACUGUGUGCUCCUUGGUAUACGAAAACCUGUUUUAAAAAUGCCUUUAAAACAAACCCCUGCAUACAACAGAGUUUCCGCAAAUGAACCACAACCAUAUCCUUGGAUUGUCCUGUGCAUUAACUUCUGUUAUACCCCUCCGUAGGUGUGAUUGGACUUGCUGAGUACGUUUGUACUCACCCCAUUCUUACUUUUACAAUGGAAGACCCAGACUACGUCCCCGAAGACAACGAGUAGGGUUUCGUCCUGCACCCAGUCUUGCCUGUGGUUGAGGCCACCGUUGGAUUCCGCAUGGCGCAAGACUCUGAUGAUUCUCUUUUUGUAGCUAGUGUAGUAGUGUGGGUUCUGGUUGUAAUCCUCGCGAUAGUGGCGCUUCACUGCCCAUUACCGCGUAGAGUUGUACGGUGAUGUACCAUCUGAUGUAAUAAAAGUGUUAUCAGCCUCCUGGGACUGAUAAAUCAACACUUUUAAGUCUUUCCUGAUGGGGGACGCUUCAGGUGGUAUCAGAGCCGUAGGCUGGCCGUAGGACGAGACCCUAGGAGCGAGACCCCUUUUCAGGCCCCAUAACUUGUCCCGAUUUAGAAAUUUUCUGCACAAACACUCACCACUGGUCUUUGCCUUGUUCCAGAUGGCUGGCAAUGGAUGGGUUAGCGAAAUCUGCCACGCAGAGCCCGGCCUCCCCAAGUUACUAUUGCUCAGCCUGGAACGCGUUGGGGUUAUGGAACCACCGGAGUAUGCCUACCGUGAGUACAUCGCCGGAGGCACCCUUCGGUACGACAUGAUGGUUUUUGUGGAGAAAAGCACCCGCUACCCUGAUGUGGACCCUUGGUUCAUCUCCACCACUGGUUUCCGCUUCCCCGACACCUAUCGAAAGGCCGCUCGUAAAGCCCUGCGACGACUGCGUGUGCUCUACAGGCACCACCUUCAGCGGACCCCUAUGGGAUUUUUCCCACCCGCUGAGGGAAGAGGGCGCACUUGGAUUGCCCGAAUGAGGGGACUUGGACGAGAAGAAGAAGACCUAGAAGACACGGUUUCCCACCUGUCCAUCUACCUCACUGGCUUGGAUGCACUCUACCGCGAGCAGGCGGCACAACUGAAGCAGCUAAUCCAUGGGAUUGAAAAGUUAACCCAGGAGCUGGAGGAACAACGGACAAGAGCUGCAAACGCCGAGUAUUCCUUAGCCGCCCUCCAAGUCCAGAUACAAGAAUACGAGGAUCGCAAUGGAAUAGGUGGAUGGAUAGAGGAGGAAGAAGAAGAACCCAUGGAAACCCAUUGGGAUAAGGGUACUCACACCGAAAAUGAGAUGGAUCGGUUCCUUCCAAUAAAGAAGCGCUCUAUCAGGACCGAGGAAGAAUCCCCGUAAUAGGGUUAGCACUCCAAGUUAGAACCCGACCCUAAUAACCCCGUGCCCCUGGAAACUGUACCCCACCAUGUUGCAAUAAUAAAUGAUAUCUACUCCCUCGUUGUACCUGUACAAAAUUUGUUUACCCUGUUCAUGUUUCAGAUGGCUGAGGAAGGAUGGACCCAGGGCGAUUGCCAAGCUGCACCUGGAUUCCCCAGCCUCUUGAUCAACACCCUGGAAGACCUUGGCGUUACGGAGCGCCCAAGGUACUACAGCCGAGAGUACGAGCACCAUGGUACCCUCCGCUGCAGGGUGAUCCUGGUCAUCGCCAGGAGCAACCGCUACCCCGACAUUCAGCCCUAGCGGGCGACCGCCACAGGGUUCAGACACCAAGACACCUACCCCUUGGCCAUCAGAAAAGCACUCCGUUAUUUGUGCCGGAUUUUUGAAGAACACCUCGCCCCCACGCCAGCGAAGUUCUUCCCGCCGGCCAUCAGAACCCCAGUCUGGGAGGCACGCAUGAGAAACCUGGAGCGAUGUCGCCACGAAGAAGGCCCCCUGUACCAAGUGGCUACUUACCUAGCCGCCCUGGACCAACUCUUUGAUGAGCAAGCCAACCUUCUGAGGGAGCAGACCCAUCGAGCCGAGCAAGCGGAGCUCGCAGUGAGGAUACAGCAGAUCCGAGCCACCCACGCCGAGGCGAGAGCCGCAGCCGCGGUCAGUAGCAAAGCAGUCGCCCAAGAAAGCCUCAGGCAAGCCCGAGACUGGCGCAUGCAAGAUUGGACCCGAAGUGGGACACCAGUCCCGGCAAUUGGGGAGGACCAUGUUUUACUCGGGACGCCCAUCAUAGGAUGGGGACCCCUUUUUGGAAGCACAUGAGCCCCACCCGAGAACCCUGAAAGUUCUGCUGCCGCCGUCGAAAGGGAUGCUGCAGCGCAACCCUUGCCAGAUGGAUACCCAGAGGACGGCGAGCAAGGAUCACUCGCACUUCCCACCCCGGAAGAAGGCACGCCUCGCGAAUAGAAUAACCGACGCCGUCCCAGUGAUGCACCCCCCAGCUUAAGAUGAGCCCUUAGACAAGACCCUGGCCGAGAAGCACGAGACCUAGUCGUACCCCCAAGUUGUACCCCCCUUGCAGUAAUAAAAUGGUUUGUGCUUGUUGUUUGUGAUGUGUGUGUUGGUUUAUUGUGUGCUGAUUGUUUAUAUGAAUACCGGCAGAAGGUAGAUUCUGCCUUAUAUAUAUAUAUACGAAUUAAACAACUUAAACAUCACCUAAUCGUAACCCCACUCUACCCAAUCAACAGAUGGUUCCCCGGAGCGUCACGAGGGCCUCCCGUAGCCGGAACCCCGCAGCCGCUGGUGCCGGAGCACAGCCUGCUGGACAGAAUCCUCCUCAGGCAGAGCAAGAAGUAAGCCAGAACCGAGGGGAAAAUCAAGGAGGAGAGCAACUACCGCCACCCCCACCUCUCGGAGACCUGGCACAGAUAAUUCACAACCAGACCCUCAUACUGGAGACUCUGGCCAAUGCCCUCAUUAACCGGCAGCCACGAGGGCAGAAUAUGAACGACAAGCUGACGGCCUUCCUAAGGACCAAGCCACCCACUUUUGCCGGGUCCUGCAACCCGUUGGAUGCUGACGACUGGUUACGAGUGAUUCAGAGGAAGCUCGAACCAUUCGAAUGCCAGGACCGGGAUAAAGUCCUUCUGGCAGCCCACCAGCUCACCGGAACAGCAUUAUCCUGGUGGGAAAACUAUUGUGCCGCAGCCGAAGAUGCCUCUACCAUCACUUGGGGAGAAUUCGUAAGGGAGUUCCGCCGCUACCACAUCCCUUCGGCCACUAUGAAGCGCAAGGCGGAUGAAUUCCGCGCACUACAACAAGGAAGCAUGUCGGUGGAAGAAUACACCCACCGGUUCAUAGAAUUGGCCCGGUACGCGCCGGAAGAGGUGAACGACGAUGAUAAAAAGCAAGACAUGUUCAAGAAAGGGUUAAGCCCGGAGCUACGGACCUUGCUUACUCCCCAGAUCUACCCGGACUUCAACACCCUGAUGAACAAGGCCAUCCUCACAGAAAGGGCCAAGGCUGAAGAGAGAAAGGAUAAUAAACGCAAAUUCCUGGAAAGUAAAGCCCGCCAACAGGACCGCUUCCAAAAGCCGAGGAACUCCAACUACACUACACCAAGAUCCCAGGCCCCAAUGCAGUAUAGGACUCAGUCCCAAGUGACAGGAACACGAGCCUCCGAAGCACAGCCUAAGAGUCAGAAUACCAUGAGGGCCCCGCAGAACAACACAAGCCUGGCCGCCUCCGACAACAACAAUGUUAGGGCUUGUUUCAACUGCCGUGAGACAGGGCACUUCAUCGCCAACUGCCCUUACGCCAAGAAUAAGCCGGCCACGUCAGCCUUCUCCAACACAGUGAAUGGGCCCAGACCGGCCCUGACCGGUGCCAACCGAGUGCCCGUCCGCAACAACGACGGCAGCCAGCAGGUGAAGCAGCAAUCAUUUGGACGAGCCCGCGUCAACCACAUCGACGCGCAGGAGGCUCAAGAAGCUCAGGGCGUAAUGCUCGGUGAGUACUUAGUCAACUCAGCUCUGGCGACAGUAUUAUUUGAUUCUGGAGCAUCGCACUCGUUUAUAUCCUCGAGCUAUGUGGAGAAACACAAAAUACCUACAGUACUACUAAAAACACCCCUAUUAACCCGGACGCCUGGAGGCGACAUUAAUUGUCAGUUAGGUUGUCCACGGAUAAGGAUCAAUUUAAGUGGGGUAGACUUUCUAGCAGAUUUGGUAGUACUUAAGCCUGGGGGAAUAGACGUGAUCCUUGGGAUGGACUGGUUAAGCCGACACAAUGGUCUCAUAGGCUGUACCGACAAGGUGGUACACCUAACAAACCACGAAGGAGUACAAGUGAUCUGCCGCACCCGGGAUAGCAAGUUUGACCCAAUGGUAUUUAGCAUGGAAGCCAAGCCCUUAGAAGGAGUCCCGGUAGUAAACGAAUACCCAGAUGUAUUCCCCGAAGAGCUUCCCGGUAUGCCGCCAGACAGGGAUAUAGAAUUCGUCAUAGACCUUAUUCCCGGAACCUCUCCGAUAGCCAAGAGACCCUAUAGGAUGGCGGCUUCUGAGCUAACAGAAUUAAAGAAACAACUAGAAGAACUGCAGCGAAUUGGCUUCAUCAGACCAAGCUCGUCGCCAUGGGGAGCCCCAGUGCUAUUUGUCAAGAAGAAAGAUGGGAGUAUGAGGUUGUGUGUAGACUACCGAGCACUGAAUGAGGUUACCAUUAAGAAUAAGUACCCCCUCCCCAGAAUUGAUGACCUUUUCGAUCAGCUAAAAGGAGCCAAGUACUUUUCCAAGAUCGAUCUAAGGUCAGGAUAUUUUCAGCUCAAAAUUAGAGAAAGUGACAUCCCUAAGACAGCCUUUGUCACCCGCUACGGGCAGUUCGAGUUCACCGUAAUGUCCUUCGGACUAACCAAUGCCCCUGCCUAUUUUAUAAACCUCAUGAACAAGGUAUUCAUGGACGAGCUAGAUAAGUUUGUCGUAGUCUUUAUCGACGACAUACUUAUCUACUCCAAGAGUGUUCAGGAACAUGAGCAACAUCUGCGGGUAGUAUUGGAGAAGCUGAGGACACAUAGGCUCUAUGCUAAGUUCAGCAAGUGCGAAUUCUGGCUGGGGAGAGUAGCUUUCCUUGGUCACAUUCUGACCGCGGAAGGCGUAGCAGUGGAUCCAGAGAAGGUCGAAGCAGUUUCCAACUGGCAGCGACCGACUAAUGUUAGUGAAAUCAGAAGUUUUCUUGGAUUAGCUGGGUACUAUCGGAGAUUUAUCGAGGGAUUCUCCAAGAUAGCCCGACCCAUGACGGAACUUCUUAAGAAGGAGAAGAAGUUCGCCUGGACGGAAAAUUGUGAAAGAAGCUUUCAAGAAUUGAAGCAAAGGUUGACAACCGCCCCAGUGCUGACCCUACCAGAUAUUCAUCGGGACUUUGUCAUUUAUUGUGACGCAUCCCGACAAGGAUUAGGGUGUGUACUGAUGCAAGAUGGGAGAGUCGUCGCAUAUGCUUCCCGCCAACUCAAGACCCAUGAGUGGAACUACCCGACCCACGAUUUGGAGCUUGCAGCCGUAGUGCAUGCCCUUAAGAUUUGGAGACAUUAUUUGAUUGGAAAUAAGUGUGAAAUUUACACCGACCAUAAGAGUUUGAAAUAUAUCUUCACCCAACCGGAUUUGAACCUAAGGCAGAGGAGAUGGCUGGAGUUGGUUAAGGACUACAAUUUAGAAAUCCAUUACCACCCCGGAAAGGCAAAUGUGGUAGCCGACGCCUUAAGCCGGAAAUCCUAUGGACCCAAGGAUGACAAUCUACGCGAGGAAAUGGCACGAUUAAAUGUGCACAUUGUUCCUCGAGGUUCCAGCCAUGUGCUAAGCGUCCAACCAACACUAGAGGAUAGAAUUAGAGAGGCUCAAAGCUCGGAUCAGGAGUUAAUGAAGAUCUGCAAACAGACUGGAGAAAACAAAGCGCCGGGUUUCAGAGUAGACGAUAAGGGGACAUUAUGGUACGAGGAUAGGAUUUGUGUGCCCCAGAAUGGAGACUUCCGGCAGAUGAUCAUGGACGAAGCCCAUAACUCGGCCUACUCCAUCCACCCAGGAUCCACCAAAAUGUAUUUGGACAUAAGGCAAAAAUAUUGGUGGAAUGGAAUGAAGGCGGAUAUCGCAAGAUUCGUGGCUCAUUGUGAUACUUGCCAAAGGAUCAAGGCUGAACACCAAAAGCCGGCAGGAUUAUUACAACCCUUGCCCAUUCCGGUGUGGAAAUGGGAUGAGAUAGGAAUGGACUUUGUAGUAGGUCUACCUAAAACACAGAAGGGACACGAUUCGAUAUGGGUAAUAGUGGAUCGACUCACUAAAUCGGCACAUUUCAUCCCCGUACGAACUAACUACGGUGGAGAGAAGCUGGCAAAGCUUUAUGUGGAAAACAUAGUAAAGUUACAUGGAGUGCCUAGCAGAAUUGUCUCAGACAGAGGGACCCAAUUCACCUCCAGAUUUUGGAAAAGCCUGCAUAAAGCCAUGGGCACCAAGUUAGAUUUCAGCUCCGCAUAUCACCCGCAGACGGAUGGUCAAACCGAAAGGGUGAAUCAGAUUAUGGAAGAUAUGCUGAGAGCAUGUGUCCUGACUUACGGAAAGGACUGGGAGCAGAGUCUGCCCUAUGCGGAAUUCUCGUACAACAAUAGUUACCAAGCCAGCUUGGGCAUGUCGCCAUUCGAAGCCCUCUAUGGAAGAAAGUGCAAAACUCCAUUGAUGUGGUCGGAAGUUGGGGAACGUGCCCUAGUAGGACCCGCACUUAUAAAAGAAGCAGAGGAAAAGGUAGCGGAAAUCCGCGAGAAAUUAAAAGCGGCUCAGUCCCGACAAAAGAGCUACGCAGACAAGAAGAGGCGGGAAAUAAGUUUCAAUCCGGGAGAUUUUGUUUAUCUCAAGGUCUCACCCAUUCGAGGAACGCGAAGGUUUCAAGUGCAAGGAAAAUUGGCCCCUCGAUACAUUGGACCGUACCGAGUUCUGAAGAAGGUCGGAGCAGUGGCAUACCAACUGGAGUUACCGGAAGAAAUGUCAGAUAUACACCCAGUAUUUCAUGUCUCGCAAUUAAGGAGAUGUUUAAGAGUACCCGAGGGAGAACAUGUGCCUGUGGAAACAAUAGAUCUACAGCCGGAUCUGCGAUACCAGGAAAUACCGGUCAAAAUUCUGGACACCGUCACUAGGAGGACAAGAAACUCCGAAGUACGGAUAUGCAGGGUUCAGUGGAGUAGACAUGGAGUAGAAGAAGCGACAUGGGAACGCGAAGAUGCUCUGAAGAAGGAGUUUCCCCAUUUGUUUAGGAACUAGCCGAAUCUCGGGGACGAGAUUCAUUUUAAGUGGGGUAGGUUUGUAACAUCCUGAAAAUUUUACCCAGAAAUCACGCGCUAAGAUUUUCGUUUUCGAGAACCGUUCCACCGAAACCCUAAAUUUCCCGGCACCCGAAUCCGAUCACAGUCACGCCAUCUUUUCCCCCUCGUGCAGCGCACGGACGCCGCGCGCGCGUGACCGACCAGCCGCGGUCACCGCCGUGAAAUUCGCCGCGCGGUCGCCGCCGCGAAUUCCGCCGGCGCGCGUCACUUCUCCCUUUAUUUUUCCAUUAUUUCUUUCCCCUUUUUCCCUUUCCUCCCUUUUCCCUCUUUCCUUUUUCCCAUUUUCCUUUUCCCUUUUUCCUUUUUCUUCCCUCCCUUUUCCUUUCUCCUUCCUGUUUCUUCCUCCCUGCUCCUCUGCUCCCGAGCGCCACCCCGCACACCGCUCCGGCCUCUGGCGCCCCUGCCCUUGCGCGCACGCCACCCCGCCCUUGCACGCACGCCACCUCGCCCUCGCGCGCACGCCGCCGUACGCGCGCGCGCCGCCGACCCUCGCGCGCACGCGCUUCACGCGCACGUGCACGGCCGGGCCGCGACGCGCUCGCGCACGCGCCGCCUGCACGCGUGCCGCGCCGCCCAUCGCUGGCGCCCUGCCCGACCGCGCGCGCCGUCCCCUCCUGGCCACUGUGGCCGCACAGCGCCCCGCCCUCGGCGCCCACGCCGCACGGCGAUGACCGCAAGCCGCCGGGGCACCAUUAAUGGCGCCCCGUGCAGCCCACCGGCCGCCACCCCCCGAGGGCCUCCUUCCCGCCGCCCUCUCCCUAUAAAUCCCCCCCCCACCGCACAGCCCACCUCCCCACGGCCUCCACCGCCACCUGCAACCCCUCCCGAGCCGUAACGCCGCCGCCGCUCACAGCUUCCCCGCCGCCCGCCGCCCACCGUGGGGGCGCCCCCUCGCUCCACCUCGGCCCGAGGUAAGGCCGGGGAUGGACUCCCCGUGCCCCCCUCCCCCUUCUCCCCCACGCGCUCGAGCCGCCCCGGGCCUCGGCCGCCGGGAUUGGGCCGGCGCCAAGCCCCCUUUCCCCCUCCCCUGUUUCUUGCGGCAGGAGGAAGAAGAAAGGGCCAUUUGCCCAAACCCCCCCCCCCUUUCUUCUAUUUUCCCAAAGGAACCCCCCAUCCACUCCCUUUUUGCAAACAAAGCCCUGCUCUCCCCGUUAUUUCAAACCAAACCCCUCGAUGCAUAAACCUAGAUGCACUUGACACCUUUUAGCAUACUCGGAGUAUUUCUAGGAUUUACAAAUAGGCCCUUACUCUUUCCAGAUACUUACGAAUAGACCCCUAGAACCCUGUUUAACCACCCGAACCCUCUUUACCUCGUCAUUUUAUGUGCGAAAUGACCUCCGAUCGACCCGAAACUUUGCCACGCCCUUCUUAGUAUAGUUUUAACCAUGCCAUUAAGAAACCACCCGGAGAUAUCACCCCUAACUCCGUAACUAAAUUAUUUCCGAUUCGAGCUCAACGAUAAAAGCUUUCAGUUCUUGUGCUUGAUUGUGUGUCUGUUUGUUUGCGUCGUAGGACACGGAGUGAACGAGGAAGGCCUCGACUGUGAUCAAGCGAACGAGAACCAGUUCCGCGACUCCGAGCCCGAGGGGCAGCGCUACGAUCAGGACCUCCCGCAAGAGUUUGACGAUGGCAAGUUCAAUUCCGCCCUUUGAUGCAUGUUUUUGUCCUAGUUUUUAUAAACACAACCCGAUGGCCUGUUUUAUAAAAUUGCAUGGUUUUGCGUGCCGUAACCAUGGUAGGAUAGCCACCCUUGUUGUGACAACCAUACCUUGACCACCUGAUUUUAUAAAGAAAAUGCGUGUGUGUGGGAAAGGGUAAAAUGUGGAUUUGAGAAACGAGUCGGACGGGAUGGAUGGCAUUUCUGUGUGAAUUGCCGUUGGUGUGCUCGUACCUGUGUGGUUGAGCAUGGAGGGGAGAUAUCCAUCUUGUCACCCCUAAGGACCGAGUUGAUGUGUCGUCUCACCUAGCUUCCUGUCGUGCAAACCACUUGACCGUUGUAUGGGCAACGGCUUGGCCUAACCCCACUAGUUAGUCUGAUAGCCAUCAGGAGAGCUGGGAGCAACGGGUGAUCAAGGAGACGGGAUAAGCUCUGUGUGACUUAUGCCCCGGUUAAACCUCGGUGGUAGGUCGAAUGACCCCUUGAUAAAUCCCGUGGUGGCUAGUCAGGUCUAGCUAAGGUGGGUAAGGGCUUCGAUGGGAUCUGCACCGGCACUAAGGUGUUCGUGCUGUGGUACCCCACCUGUGGGUAAAGUUGCACACCUCUGCAGAGUUGAAAAUCUAUUCGAAUAGCCGUGCCCACGGUAUUGGGCAAGUUAUGGUGUGGUCACAUAACUAGUGUUUCUCUCUGGAAAUGAUUGGGCUGGUGUGAGUCGUUUGGAAAGUGUCCGGCAGUUGUGCCGUGAGCUACGGCGGACGGGGAGUCCGGUAGCAUUUUCAAACUUGGAUCUUGUGUGGAUCAACACUGUGUGCUCCUUGGUAUACGAAAACCUGUUUUAAAAAUGCCUUUAAAACAAACCCCUGCAUACAACAGAGUUUCCGCAAAUGAACCACAACCAUAUUCUUGGAUUGUCCUGUGCAUUAACUUCUGUUAUACCCCUCCGUGGGUGUGAUUGGACUUGCUGAGUACGUUUGUACUCACCCCAUUCUUACUUUUACAAUGGAAGACCCAGACUACGUCCCCGAAGACAACGAGUAGGGUUUCGUCCUGCACCCAGUCUUGCCUGUGGUUGAGGCCACCGUUGGAUUCCGCAUGGCGCAAGACUCUGAUGAUUCUCUUUUCGUAGCUAGUGUAGUAGUGUGGGUUCUGGUUGUAAUCCUCGCGAUAGUGGCGCUUCAAUGCCCAUUACCGCGUAGAGUUGUACGGUGAUGUACCAUCUGAUGUAAUAAAAGUGUUAUCAGCCUCCUGGGACUGAUAAAUCAACACUUUUAAGUCUUCCUUGAUGGGGGGACGCUUCAACACCCUAAUCCAGUUGUAACUACUCGUACAGGAGUAGAACUAAUUGGAACAGAAGAAAACUACCUGAGUAGUAAUCGGGUAAGACUCUUAAGCUCGUAUUUGGCUAGGACUUCCAUAUAACCCUGUUGCCCCAGACUAUAUAAGGGUGGGUAUGGACCCCCUCCAAAUAUUACAUCAUCUAAGACAAUACAAACCACCACAAAGGAUGUAGGCUAUUACGCUCUUGGUGGAGCGAACCUGUCUAAAGUUUCAGGUUCCUUGCACCUUCGAGUUCCUGAUCUCGGCGACACCCCACCUACAAUCUACCACCUCAGGGAUAUCCCUCGGUGGGCUUGGAGGUUAAACAUCGAUAAUUGCUGUGCUAGGUAGGGGUAUUCAUCGAGCAUCCACUAGAGAACUCGAUGGAAUUUUUCAACUUCACCAGCGCCGUGCUUGAUGAGGGCACAAUUUUCGUCUUUGGCUCGUGGGUCUGCGUUGCUGAUGGCACAUGCAGCGUUCGUCGGCACCUUGUCAAUGACAUGAAGUUGGAGGCAUCUACGGCAAGCCAACACAGCAGUCUUGAUGGGUUCAUCAACAAUCUCGUCGAGACGCUGCUCCCUGAUCUUGCUAGGGAGAUCGAGGACGAGUCCAUUUUCAAUGUGACUUCAACUCAUGCUGCACCAGGACUCCUCAGAUUGGAUCUGAUUUGGUAUGAGGAUUUGCGUACCCGAUCACCUUUCGGGCUACGCAACACAGCCACUAUUUACUAGAAGGCCAUGCAAUUCUAGACCCCCUCUGCAUUGGAGGAGGACUUGGAUUGCCUGCUCAUGAUCGGAGAUGACUGCUCCGACUACUACACUGAAGCUACCAGCAAGGAUCAUGCUACUACUACUUCAACUUCGCGAGGGCGCUCAGCGACCCGCCAAUGACUACUUCGACUACUCAUCUCGACUAGAAAACUAGUCGGGAGCGGGCCUCACACCGUCAAUAACUAGUCGGAAUCUACUCCGACUAGUCCGGCUUCAUCAACAGACCGCUGCAGCUCCACUGAUGACUGCCAUGGUUUCAUCGACAAUCAUCCACAAAUCAAGCUAAGUCACUUAUACCUUUUCCGACUUGUUCUUCAUAGGAUCAGCUACUAUUUUUGGUACGCCUCUCGACGGGAGUUACCCUUGGGGGGCUACACCAUGAUCGACUACUUCUAGGGUUUGCUGACUAACAGCGCACGCGCUUGGUACACCGAGUUGUGUCGGGCUCACAGCAGCUACCCUACGGGCAUGCGCGCUGCAACAUGCGCUCUCGCUGACUACUUUAUGCGCAACGCGCAUUCUCUUUGUCUCAUGCCAACUACUUUUUUCUGCAUUCAUUGUCUUCUCUUAACGGUUGCUAAAGUACUCAUGUAGCACACACCUUAAUCUGUGAAACCUUGACUCUUUUGUACGCCUAUGUUCCUACACGUGCACGUGAUCAGCUACCUGAGCUAUGGGCUCCGGCUAUCAGUGAUCAGGUGCUUAAACGUAAGAGGCUAACUACUCGGGGAAAUUACGUGGCCUGACAAGAGCAAGACGCAAUUUUUUUAUCAUGCAUUUUACAAUGCUAGGAUUCACUCCUGACUCGAUAUCAUGUAUAUCAGUUACAACAUAUUUUUAUGUUUAACUUGCAGGGGACCAGACCUGGACCAUGCGGCUGGGUGAGGUAUGCUCCCGAGAGCUGCCUUACUCGGCCAUCACUUCGUCGACACAGACCACUCGGAGUUGUGACAUUUCAGGUACUUAGGAGCUAGGCACACAAAUUUUUAGUAUGAAAUUGUGUGAAGUUUGUGUUCGUUUUGAUGAAUGCCUUUAAAAACAUAAAUACACGUUAAAGGGUAUUUUUGAAAUAUUGGAAAAAUUAGGGUACUGUAACAUUCAGGUAAUUAAGGGUAUAGACACUAGGUAUUAAUGUGAUAUAGGUAUGCUUGCUAUAAUACAUACAAGUUGUACAAAGAACUAGGGGUAUAUUUGUAAAUUAUGAAUUUUAUAGGUCCCUAUGUGUAAUUGUGUAAAAAUGCUAUUAAAUGUCAAAUUCAAAUGACCAUAGAGAAGAAAAGUACAAAUAUUAAGUUAAAACCUAAGAGAAAUAGACUUUGUAUGAAACUAAGAACCUAUGUGUAAUUAACACAAAGAUAUAAGGAUUUACAUGUGAAAUGGUGAAAAGAUAAAAGUAAAACUCAGAUUUACUUAAGGGUUAAAGUGUAAAAAGGUUAGUCAUGAUUACACUGCAUGCAAUUUGGCAAAAAGGCCCUAAACAUUAAAGCAUUUUGUUUGAAUUAUAACAAAAGCCUUACAAAUUGAGUUGGGUUCCAAAUUUUAAAAUAAAACUGUAUCCUUUAAGAUUUUGAACUUGAACCCUAAAGCAUUAUUGUAGGGUUUGAAAUUAUUUACAACUUUGCUUUAGACAUUUUUCUCACUAGGAUUUUGUAUCAAUGGGAAAUCUCUCUUUAUAGAGGGGUCCCUGGAAUUUUCUCAAAUUGCAAACAAGUCCUACUGACACCCGCUGCUGCUUCUUCCUCUGUCACCGCCGCUUCCCCCUCUGCUCCGCUCUGCCACCGCCGCUCACCGCCGGCGUAGUGCCCGAGCUCCACCUCCAGCUACUGCAUGUGCCCACGCGUCGCCCCCUACCUCCCCCACCUCUGCUCCCCUCCCUCCCUAGCGUCUUCUGCGCCUGCCACGCGCGCGCAACUGCCGCUCGGCCGCCACCAAGCCGCCGCCGUGGCAAGCCCCAAACCGAGCGCCCAGUCCUCGUGCUUGUGCGCGCUUGAGCACUACAACUACCCCGCGGAGCUAAUGGACGCAUUCUUUCCUUCCUUCUCCACUCCCACGCCUCGGAACGCCGCCGCCAUUGCCGCCCGAAUGCCGGCGAGCUCAAGCUCACCGUCGCCCCACCCCUCCACCGCUGCUCCGCCUGCACUGACCCCGCCUUCAGCUCCACCUCAUCCUCGCGCAGCUGCCCGGCCAAUCCCCUUCCCCGCACGGACUCCGGAGCGCCGCCGCACCGUUCUCCCCGGCCGCCGCCUCUGCCUUGCCGUGGACAGGCCCACACAGACCUCCCCGACCCCAUCCGAAACCUCCCGAAGGUCGCCCUCGACUUCCUCAUGCUGUUCCCCCUCUUCUCCCCCGCCGCCGGCGACGAGCCUCGCCGGAAUCGACGGUCAAAGAUGUUUCCCCCGCUCUGACUCCGGCCAGGGGCUACAUUGCAAGCAUUCAAAUUCUUCUAGGGUCCUUUAUGCAAAGUUUCAGUCCCUUCCUCUAUUUCAAAUCAGUGAAGUUCAAAAAUGUGUAGGAAAAUUGAGGGUGUUUCAGAGCUUGACUCCUAGCACGGAGAUUGAGGGUGUUUCAGAGCUUGACUCCGAGCACGGAGAUCCUGUUCUUAGUCCCUAUCACUCUCCCUCUGACAGUCAGUCUUCUGUAGGGAACUUCGAUGAUUUCUAGUUUCGUAAACCGUUGACUAGCUACAUGUAACUUGUGGGGAGUAUAAUAACUUAGGUAGUGUGUAACUUAGCUAGAUCUCAUGCCAUUUGUUGUAACAUAGAUGGCCUACGUAGGGAUCUUUCGGAUGUGUGAUGUGGAGAACGAUCAGAAUCAGUGUUGUAAUAUAAGUUUCCUGUUUUAUCAUCUUGUUCACUAUCCCUAUGAUUCUGAAAUGAGAUGAUUGAAUGGAGUGUAUGCAUUGUUUAUCUAAGUCGUAUAUCUUCUGAAAUUGGGGUAGCUAUAUGGUUAAUGAUGGACAUCUCCUUUGUUUCAGAUGGUUGGAGCCACGCGCGGAACCCCGGAAGGUUUCCGGGCAGAUCAGGCUAGCGGUUCUCAACAACCGCCACCGCCACCUCCUAAACUUGCCGAAGUUAUGGCUCCGCAAACCGAACUUCUCAACUUGCUGGUACAAGCACAACAGAACCAGCAACAUCAACAGUUCUGAGGAGGUCGUGAUUACCGCAAUCCUCCCGUGGCCAGUUAUCAGGAUUUCAUCAGUACCCAGCCUCCAUUUUCAGUAAGGCUGAAGAACCCUUGGAUGCCGAUGCUUGGCUCCAUAUCAUUGAAUCGAAGUUCGCUCAAUUGACAAUACCUUGUGCGGACUCAAGCAAAGCUUCCUUUGCCGCCCAGCAAUUCCGAGGUGCUGCUCAGAUCUGGUGGGAUAAUUUCUACGCCAUGCAGCCUGCAGGGCAUGUUAUCACCUCGGAUGAAUUUCGAGCAGCCUUUAGAGCACAUUAUAUUCCUGAAGGAUUGCUGGAGCGGAAGUUGAAUGAAUUUUUGGCAUUUACUCAAGGCACCAGUACAGUCCUGCAGUACGCACAGAACUUUAAUCAUCUGUGUCAAUAUGCGGGAUAUCAUGCGGAUAAUGAUGCCAAGAAACAAGAUCGUUUCCGUCGGGGCCUUAAUACCAAGCUCAAGGAACGCCUGAAUCUUGUGAGGGCUAACACUUUCAGCGAGCUGGUUAAUAUGGCUUUAACUCAAGAAGAUUGCAUCAUAGCACAUCAUGCUGAGAAGAAAAGAAAGACCCCUACUGGACCCUCGAGUGCUCAACCACCGAGGUAUCGGGUUGUUCCCAAUACACCGUUCAGAGCACCGCAGUGGAAUGCCCCAACUGGUAGAUUGGUUUUCAGGCCGCCCCAACAGCAAGGAAGGUACAGACCUCCUGCUCCUCUGCAACAACUACAACAAUCUGGCCCACGGCCAAAUGUCCAACAAGUGUCACAGAGAAGCAGCAAUUAUCGCUGUUUCAAUUGCGGAAGCGCGGAUCAGCGGCCCAAGAAACCUAAUCAAGGGCAGAGUUCUACUCAGGGUAACCAGAACAAGGGCAAGAAACCGGUAAUGCAAGUCCGGCAAGGGCGGAUUAAUUUCACCACUCUGGCAGAACUUCCCGAUGGAGCUUCCGUCAUGUCGGGUACAUUCUCUAUUCACCACAAACCAGUUGUUACAUUAUUUGAUUCAGGAGCAAUACAUAGUUUCAUUAGUAACAACUGUGGUACCCGGAUAGGACUUGAUCCUUGUUUUACUCAAGGGUCAUAUAUGAUCUCUACCCCUGGAGGAAAUAUCACUUCCAACCAAAUGAUUAAAAGUGUGCCAAUUCAGUUAGGUAGUAAAGAAAUCAAAACUGAUUUGGUUUUACUAAGUUUGGAGGGUAUUGAUAUUAUACUUGGGACAAACUGGAUGACUAAACAUCAAGUACGGUUAGAUAUUUCUUCCCGAGUUGUUGAAAUUGAUUCACCAUACUAUGGGAUCACCACCCUUUAUCUGCCUCAGCCAGAAUGUCUGCAUCCUUGCACUUAUGCCAUCACAAAUAUCCAAGUCAAGGAUAUUCCUAUAGUAUGUGAAUACCCCGAUGUCUUUCCAGACAACUUGCCUGGAAUGCCACCAGAUAGAGACAUCGAGUUUAUCAUUGAACUUCAACCGGGCACUGCUCCUAUUUCAAAGAGGCCGUAUCGCAUGCCUCCAAAUGAAUUAGCAGAACUAAAAAUCCAGCUCCAAGAUUGUCGGUACACACAGAUAGGGGUACCUCCUGCUAGGGUGUCCAGGCCCUUGGCUUCUCAUAAUCCAUGAACACCCCCUCACCUCUGAGUCACGUGGAAUACGGCCUCCGGGCCUGACUGCUGGGACCACGGUCUCCGGACCCUCCCCGGGCUCCAUAAGGUCCGGGGCCUCUGCACACCCAGGCGGGUGGGAGAGCCCUCGGGUAGCUCCUGCAGACCUGGCCUCCCCUGGGAGGUCCGGAGCCGCCACGUGUGAUGGCCAGACCAUCACAGGCCAGCCCGCUCCGACCAGCCACGGGGGCCUCGGACCCCCCUUUCCCCCGGGAAGGGGUCCGGUGCCGCCACGUGUUGCCCGGCGGGAGGAGCGGGGCUGGCCCCGCCGCGUGCCUACGGCCUGAGGCCCCUUACAGGUCGCCUCCUCACCUACCCGCAUUCAAUGCGGUAGCUGAGUCGGGCGCGCCAAAGUCGAAAGGUGCGGCCUGCCACUGACACACGGGGCAGGUAAGCUGACACCGCGGUAAGCCCGCCCGUUCUGAAGGCGGCGCGUCGUAUCACCGCGCACAGUACGCGGACUGUGUGCAGUCCCGUCACGGCGCUGCGCGCGUGAUGAUGGCCUGUAAUAGGCGAGCCAAGGCGUGCGCUGUAACAGUGCGCGCGUCACGGGACAGCUCCUUCUCGCCCUCUGACCGAAGGUCCCAUCCCAACAGUGACAGCACGGCUUCACUGUUGGGUAACGCUGACGCCGGACACUGUACAAGACAAGGCUGUACACGGCCAUAUCCUGGCUGUAGAUACGCACAUCAACUUCUCGAUCGAGAGGACUACGGAGAGGAGCUCGAGGAGAUGACCUCUAUAUCUCUCGUAGAACAGCUCCUAUUGGCCGGGCCCACCUGUCGGGGUCCCGCACAGUGUAAGCACUCCCCUUGCACUAUAAAAGGGAGAGUGUACUCGUUAGAAUACAGGGUUUUCAACAAUCGGCGGCUCACAUAGCCAAUACAACACCAAAGUGGACGUAGGGUAUUACGCUCCGGCGGCCCGAACCACUCUAAACCUUCGUGUCCUUCCUGUGUUCAUCUGUCCACCGAUCGAGCGCUCCUAAGUCCCCUCCAAACCCAUCCUUAACUAGGAUUAGGCGGGUGCUUUCCGCCACCCGGCUGGAGAAUUCCUCCGACAUUUGGCGCGCCAGGUAGGGGACUUAGGUUUGGAUUGCGCUCGGUCGACCUUCACGACCUCAAUGGCGCAGGAAAAUGGUCACCAUGACCUCGUGAUCGGUGAAGAAGUGGCGUCAACGGCGCCACACGCCUCGCGCCAUCCCGCCUCCAGAGUGGCCCCGCGUGCUGCUCCACCGUGUGCAGCGGAGCGGGCCUCUGUGGCCCAAUCGGUGCUCCCACCGAGCGGGCCCCUCAUGGCAGCCAGGGAGUUGCUCCGCAACCCCCCGGGCGAGGCAGCGUCGCCAGACGCGCACAGACAAUGGCGUGACGACGUCGACCGUCUCCUCAACCUGGCACAGGCUUCCCCAGGCUCUGCGGGGGGGUCUGUUUCCAGGCAGCGCCGUCGCCAGGGCGGUGCAUCCGGUUCUGUGCACUCACCGUCCGUGAGGAGUGCACGGACCGAAGACCUCCGGGCGGAGCUCAACCGCAGGCAUGCAGGAGAGGACGCCAGGGUCUCCAUCGAGCGGACGCGCAACCGACGACUCAAUAUUGAGGGUCGGAACCUUGCGCCCGAGCUCGAUGCGGCAGCGGCCAGGUCGCAGGGACUCCCCCAGGCACCGGUGUCGGGCGUGGGCUGCGCAGCGCUCGCAGGCCACCUCCGUGCAGUCGCCUGGCCGUCCAAGUUUCGGCCUUACCUGCCGGAAAAAUAUGACGGGUCCUCCAACCCGUCAGAGUUCCUGCAGGUCUACAUCACCGCCAUCACGGCGGCUGGAGGUAACGAAGCCGUCAUGGCAAGUUACUUUCAUGUAGCCUUGACCGGGCCAGCCCGGACCUGGCUCAUGAAUCUUACCCGAGGAACCAUCCAGUCCUGGGGUGAGCUCUGCGCGCAGUUCACUGCGAACUUCGCCAGCGCGUACCAGCAGCAUGGCGUGGAGGCCCACCUCCACGCCGUGAGGCAACAACCCGGGGAAACCCUCCGGGCUUUCAUUUCCCGCUUCACCAAGGUACGAGGAACUAUCCCACGUAUCUCCGAUGCAUCUAUUAUCACGGCCUUCCGACAGGGGGUCCGGGACGAGAAGAUGCUAGAGAAGCUGGCGACCCACCAGGUGGAAGCCGUCACCACCUUGUUCGCUCUGGCGGACAAAUGCGCCCGGGCUGCAGAAGGCCGUGCAUGGCACUCUGCAACCCAGGCAGGUCCCGCUCAGACGAGCGGACCCAGCGUCACUGCUCCUGGCAGCGGCAAGAAGAAGAACAAGAAGGUCCGUGGCUUCGACAAGUCACGGAUUGGGGGUCCGGCCGUUGCAGCUGCGACGACCGGGGGCCAGAACUCCCGUGGCAAGCGCCCGCGACAGCAGCGCACCGACCCCGGGUCAUGCCCUGUUCAUCCGGGGGCUCGCCACAGCGCCACCGAGUGUCGCGAGAUCCAGAAGCUCGCGGAGCGCCUCAGCAAGAGGCAAGACCAAGCCUCCAAGGAGGGCUCCUCCCCGCCGCGCCGGUCCGGAAAGGAGAAAGCCUCCGAUGCCGACGCAGCCGCGACGGAGAGAGAGUUGGGGUAUCAAGCCCCCAACAAAGACCUCAAAGGACUUUUCCAGCAGUCCGAUUCCGAGUCCGGAGGGGACGAGCGCCGCAAGAAGCUGUACGUUAUGUACGGCGGCAGUUCGGAGCUCGUCUCCCGGCGGGACGUCAAGGCCCUUCGUCGGGAGGUCCUCUCGGUGAAACCAGGGGUGCCGAGAGCGGCGCCCCAUCAGCGAUGGAAAGGCACCACCAUCUCCUUCGGGCCAUCUGAUUGCCCAGAGAACAUGGCGGGUGCGGGAGUGCUGCCGCUUGUUACAGCACCCACCAUCGCCAAUGUCCGCCUUCACCAUGUGCUGAUUGACGGAGGCGCCGGCCUCAGUGUCAUCAGCUAUGCAGCGUUCAAGCACCUGCAGAUCCCGGAGUCCAAGUUGGCUCCAUCGCGCCCAUUCUCAGGAGUGGGCCCGGAUCCCGUAUACCCGGUAGGGACCAUCACCCUACCGGUUACAUUCGGGACAGAGGACAACUUCCGUACCGAGAACGUGCAGUUCGAGGUUGCGGAAGUUAACCUCCCCUUCAACGCCAUCAUCGGCAGACCGGCUCUGUACCGGUUCAUGGCCGUUGCCCACUACGGGUACCUGGUCCUGAAGAUGCCUUCUCCGUCAGGCGUCCUCACCGUCCAGAGCGAUCGGGCCGCUGCCGUUGUGGCGGUCGAAAAGCUCCAUGCGCUGGCCACAGGACUCGCCCCUGUAGCAGGCGCCCAGGGGUCCGACCCCUCAACCUCGCGUGCCAAGGUUCCGGCCAAGGCGCCGAGGGUCUGCCCGUCCGACAGGGACAACGUUCCCGUGAAGACCAUCCAGGUCGGAGCGGAGGCCUCCCAGACCACCCGUAUCGGUGGCAACCUGGGAGAGAAAUAGGAAAGUGCGCUCAUCGCCUUCCUCCGGGCAAAUGUUGAUGUGUUCGCCUGGGAACCAUCACAAAUGCCCGGGAUCCCCAGGGAGGUGAUUGAGCAUCAUCUGAAGAUCCACCCCGACGCCAGGCCGGUCCGGCAGAAGCCACGCAAGCAGUCCAUCGAGCGGCAAAACUUCAUCCGCGAAGAGGUCCGCAAGCUGCUGCAGGCUGGCUUCAUCGAGGAGGUCUACCAUCCCGUGUGGUUGGCCAACCCGGUGGUGGUCCCAAAGGCCAACGGGAAGCUUCGGAUGUGCAUCGACUACACCAAUCUUAAUAAGGCAUGUCCAAAAGACCCUUAUCCACUCCCGCGUAUAGAUCAGAUUGUAGACUCCACCUCCGGGUGUGAUUUGCUGUCCUUCAUAGAUGCCUAUUCUGGUUUUUAUCAAAUCAAAAUGGCUAAGGAUGAUAGGAAGCACACAGCUUUUGUAACAGUGGAUGGGCUUUAUUGUUAUAUAGUGAUGCCUUAUGGAUUGCUCAAUGCUCUACCCACCUUUGCUCGUGCAAUGAAUAUCACUCUAGGUGAUUUGGUUAGAGAUAUUGUAGAGGUGUAUGUCGACGACAUCGUUGUCAAGACUAGAGAGUCGUGUUCUCUAUUAGAAAAUUUAGCUCGAGUCUUCGACAAGCUACGCGCGACCUCUACCAAGCUUAACCCCGAGAAGUGCGUCUUCGGCGUAUCGGCGGGAAAGCUCCUUGGAUUCCUGGUCUCCCACCGGGGGAUCGAGGCCAACCCGGAUAAGGUCCGGGCGAUCGAGGCAACGAGACCCCCGGUGCGCCUCAAGGAUGUGCAGAGGUUGACGGGAUCCCUUGCAGCCCUCAGCCGCUUCAUUUCGAGGCUGGCGGAGAGGGCGCUUCCCUUCUUCAAGUUGAUGAGGGGGUCCGGCCCAUCGUAUGGACCGAAGAGGCAGAACGUGCCUUCCAAGAGAUGAAGCAGUACCUUACCUCCUUGCCGGUCCUGGUCGCACCGGACCUAGGUGAGACACUGUUUCUUUACCUUGCAGCAACGACCGAAGUGAUCAGCAUGGUGCUGGUCGCCGAGAGGUCCGAGCUUCUCCCCCAGGGGACCUCCGUGGACCCUCCUGCAGAAGAGGGAGGUCCGGCCUCCCCCACUCCAGCAACCGGCCCUAUUUCCGAGGGUCCGGCCGGGUCCCGACCUGGAGAGGUGUUAAGCAGCUUGGGGGCCGACGGGACCACAGCUCAAGUUGAAGGAUCCAGUCCAACUGGCAGAGUCAGGACCGUCCAGAAGCCGGUCUACUACGUCAGUGAGGUCCUCCAUGAGGCAAAGGCCAGGUAUCCUGAGACACAUAAGCUCCUUUAUGCUAUACUUGUUGCGUCCAGGAAGCUCCGCCACUACUUUCAGGCCCACAAGGUUGUGGUGGUGACCUCCUACCCAUUGAGGGCCAUCCUCCACAACCCCAACGCCACGGGCAACAUCGCCAAGUGGGCAGCGGAGCUCGCUGGGUUCCAGCUCGACUUCCAGCCGCGUCACGCCAUUAAGAGUCAGAUCCUUGCUGACUUCAUCGCAGAAUGGACGCCCGCACCAAGCGUCUCCGGGGGUCCGGACCAAGGCACGGACCCCCCACGUCCGGAGGUUAGGGCUCCGGUCUUCACCGGACCUCACUGGACCCUUUUCUUUGACGGGUCCGCCCGCAGCAAGAGGGCCGGGGCGGGCGUAGUCCUCAUCGACCCACGUGGCGAGCAGUUAAAGUACAUGGUGCACCUCGAUUUUGAGGCCACCAAUAACAUGGCAGAGUAUGAGGCCUUGAUCUUUGGGCUCACGGCGGCUCUGUCCCUGGGGGUCCGGGAGCUCCUGGUCAAAGGGGACUCCCAACUCAUCAUCAGGCAAGUCCGUGGGGAGUGUUGCUGCAACAACCCCCAGCUCGCAGCCUACCUCAUCCAUGUGAAGAGGCUGGAGAAGGACUUCGAUGUGCUGGAACUGCAACACGUUCCACGCGAAGGCAAUUCAGCAGCUGAUGCCCUCUCCGCGAGCGCAUCGACUCAGGCACCCGUGCCUGAGGGCGUCUUCCAGAGGCGUCUGCUGAAGCCUUCCGCCCAGCCUGCCGAUCUAGGCGAGGGGGGUCGGACUAGCACCUUGAAGCUGGCGGUCCCGGCGGUGCUCCAUCCGUGGUACCCGCCAAGGGCCGUGUGCACCCUUGAGGGUCCCGAAGACCUCAGGGAGCCACGCCCAGUUUCUCAGGAAGGUCCCGAUGCAUGGAUCUCUAAGGUCCGGGACUACCUGAAGGAUAACUACCUUCCUGAAGAUCAAGCAUCUGUUGAGCGCAUUGUCCGGAUGGCUAAGCGAUACACGGUGGUAGAAGGGGAUCUUUAUCGCCGUGGCGCCAACGGCGUCCUCAUGCGGUGCAUCACCCAGGAAGAGGGCCGCGACUUGCUCGCGGAGAUCCAUGGAGGCGAGUGCGGAAGUCACUCUUCAUCCUGCACGCUGGUUGGUAAAGCCUUUCGGCAUGGUUUUUACUGGCCGACAACGCUCCAGGAUGCAGCUGACUUGGUAAGGUCCUGCAAAGCGUGUCAGUUCCACGCAAAGCAAAUACACACUCCAGCUCAGGCACUGCAGAUGAUUCCUCCCUCUUGGCUCUUUGCGGUAUGGGGGUUGGAUAUCUUGGGACCUUUCCCUAGGGCCGUCGGUGGGUACCGAUACCUCUAUGUCGCCAUUGACAAGUUCACCAAGUGGCCAGAGGCAACCCCAGUGGUCAACAUUACCAAGGCGUCGGCAACUGCUUUCCUCAGGUCAAUUGUGUGCCGGUUCGGGGUCCCGAACCGGGUCAUCACCGACAAUGGGACCCAGUUCACGAGCCAGUACUUCCAGGAGUACUGUGAGGAUAUGGGCAUCCAGCUCUGUUUUGCCUCAGUGGCACAUCCCAGGAGCAAUGGCCAAGUUGAGCGGGCCAACGCCGAAAUCCUCAGAGGGCUCAAGAUCCGAACCUACUGUGACCUUGAGAAGCAUGGCGCAAGGUGGAUAGAAGAGCUUCCGAGUGUGUUAUGGGGGAAUCGGACCACACCCAGCCGCGCAACAGGGGAAACCCCUUUCUUCCUGGUCUACGGGGCCGAAGCAUGCCUUCCCCCGGAGAUCACCAUGGGCUCUCUGCGAGUCCGGUCUUUUGAUGAAGAGAUGCAGGAACAGGAGCGUCGCCAAGACGUGGACCUCGUAGACGAGCGUAGAUGGCGAGCAGCAGUCCGCAACGCACGGUACAACCAAGCGCUCCGGCGCUACCACCAACGGUUCGUGCGAAGUAGGGAGCUCCGGGUUGGGGACCUAGUCCUAAGGCGAAUCUUGAACCGGGAGGGUAUGCAUAAGCUCUCCCCCAGCUGGGAGGGGCCCUUCAAGGUGACCAAGGUGUGCCGACCCGGAUCUGUUCGCCUGGCUGCGGAGGAUGGAAUGCAACUACCCAAUCCAUGGAACAUUGAGCACCUCCGUAAGUUCUAUCCCUAGGACCUGGUUGGGAGGAAAUUUUUCCUUUGUAAUUGGUAGCAUUGCCGUGCGGACCAGGGCGGUAGAGGUCCGCCCUCGUAAACCCGGCCCCUGGCGUACAUCGCACAGCUCUUCUGUACCGAUUCAUUUAAGGGGAAAUUUGUUCUCAAACGCGUCCUUGAACUCUAUGCGAUUCUAAGGUUUUUUCGCUUCUUGUUACGCUAACCCCCCACGUGGUUUUUCGCGUCUGUGUCGUGUCGAAGUUCCUACUUAGGUUGCUACACUAUGUCUCUGCCCGGGACCCCUGUCUCGCGGAAGAAAAGGAACUGGGCACCCGGGAACUGGCUUCAGGGAGGCGUGCUCGUUCUUUGCUGGGGUCCAGGGCUGUGUAGCCGCUUAGCCUGGUUCCGUACCCUAAGCCUACAUGCCCUGCCCCCCUAGGACGGGUAUCGUUGUACCUUGAACAAUGGACCCGGGGGCCGGGACCCUUUAGAUUCCCGAACUAUGGCUCCGGUGCCCUGACUCGUUACGCAUCGCAGUAGGCUUUUGCUGGCCGGACCGGUACCUCGUGGGGACGUCUUCUAAGCGUCGAUCUAAGUCAUGUGCAGGACCUCGGUUCUAUGGCAGCUAGUCCCGUCCUAUCGCGACUACCUCCCAGGGGGCCACACGGGACCUUGGUAUGCACAAGAACACCUUACAAACCGACAGCAGGAAAACAGCUAAGUUUCUCACAAAAAUUGCGUUGAAUAUGCACAAUAUUAUCUUACAAUAACAAAACUUGUAUUACAAAAGAAAUAACAAAAAGAUACUAGCACUACUGCUCUGGUGGUCCGGAGGCACUCCCACUCUCUGCAGGUUCAGGACGUCGCCGGAGGCGGGCCGCGAUCAGGUCCACUGCCUCCUGGACUCCUUCCCGCGCAGCGGCUGCCGUUGCCCGGAGGGGUCCGACCAGGACGGGAGUCAGCUGGACGGCAGGAUCAUGGCUUCGGAAGCUGGUGAGGAUGUACUCCGCCAUUCCCCGGGCAACCACUCGUCCCUCUGCCUCCAGGAGGUCCUGAAGGCCGGCCUCCGCAUCCUGUAGCCGCCUGGUGGUGGAGUCCAGCAGUUGGAGUGCGGCACCAAAUGGUGAAGGAGCCUCUGGUACCCAGAUGGGGUUGGCUCCGAGCGCUUCUAGCAGAGGGUUCACCGCACCAACCCAUCUUGUUAAUCGGUUGGCGCCGGCGCGCUGCUCUGCCAGGAGCCCCUCCACCUUGGCCUCCCUCUCCUGAAGCGCUGCCUCGCGCUCCUGGAGCCUCCGGUUCCCGGCUGCCAGCUCCUCCUCCACGGCCUCUUCCCGCUUCUGGAGCUCCUGCUGCCGGACCACCUCCUCUGCUUCUCGGGCGGCCAGCUCUUCUUCUUUCUUCGCUGCCGCCGCCGCCCGAUCCGCGAGGGCGGCCUGAUGCGCCUCGGCCGUGGCAAACGCCUCCCUCGCCGCGCCUAUCAGCUCCCGGGCGGCCCGCUCCGUCUCCGCCGCCGCCUCUUUCUGCCUCUCCACGGCAAUCAGCCCCUGGAGAGCCUCUGCUUCCCGCCGUGUGGCCGCCAACUCCCGCUGGCGCGCUGCUUCCUCCCGGUCGCGCGCCUGCUCCAGCUCCUCCCGCAGGAGCUCGCGCCCCGCCACGAGUUUGGCGCGCUCCUCGGCGUAGCGGGCGGAGACAGAGUUGAUGCGGCCCCCCAGGCGGACCUCCCAGUCGAAGAGCCGCUGGCGCUCCGCCUCCAGCUUCUCCCACUCCCGGCGCAUGCCAGCCUCUAGCUCCUGUUGAGCUUGCUGGCAUUUGGCUAUGAGCCGGGGGAGCGGGACCUCCGCUGUGCUCGGGAGGAGGAACCUUCCCAGCACCACCUCCGGUUCCUCCUCCUCUGCCGGUGGGUGGGUGCUGCUGGCAACUUCGGCGACCUCCGGAGCCGCUGCCUCUGCUGGCUCUGGAGCCGUCGCCUCUGUCGCCUCCGGUGCAGCCGCCUCUGCCGCCUCUGGUGCCGCGACCUCCACCACCUCCGCUGCCUCUGGCGCAGCAGCCUCCGCCGUGGCGGUGGCCCCCUCUGCUGCUAGGUCAGCUGGUGAGGGCCUGACCUCAACACCCGGCGCUGUCGCCGGUGCCUCGGUCGUCGCAGCUGACCUGGUGCCCUCCUCCUGGGGGGCAGCUCCGGGUCGUGGCGGUGUGGUGGCCUCCGGCUCCGGGCCCAUGGCUCCGGGGGCUUCUGGAGCUGUUCCAGGCGGGGGCCCUGCUGGGAGCGGCGCCGAGGGCCCCGAUGCUGGCUGGGGGCCGGAUCCCCCAGUGGGAGCAUCCGAAGACUGCGGCCUGCCGUAUCACCUGUAUGGUUAAGGGCCGGAAGCCAAGAAAGAAAAUGAAAAACCAUGACAAAACCACUUACGGGAAGUCGGACCACUCCCAUCUGCCCCGGGCUGCGGGGGGACUUUCCUCCCAGCCGAGGACCCCCCGGACCUUUGGUGGGUGUCCCUCGCCAGCGGAGUUGCUGGUGGCGGUGAUGGGGGUAGUAGAUUGGCCUCGGGCGGUGGUGGUGGCGUCGCCGGACGCCGUUCUGGUGGAGGAGGCUGACGUGUCUCCUCCGGAACCCUCUCCGGCUGCUGGCGUUGUGGCGCGGGUGGAGGAGCUCUGCUCUGCUCCUCUGCCCCCGCCGUCUUCUAGCGUUUCGGCGCCGGUUCCCCGACCAGGGAACCGUCGCCGCGCUGGAGCCUCCGGGACUUGCUCCCUUCGGCUUGGCUGCGCCGCUCAGGUGCCGCCCCCUGAGCCUCGUCGCUCCUUUGGGCCGGGGCAGCACCCGCACUAUCUUUCUGCCGGCGCUCUGGCGCCGGCACUUUCUCCUUUCCUUUCCCGCUGGGGGCCGGACCUCUGGGUCCCGGCUCCCCAGCACCUUCGCUGGGGUGAUGCUGGCGGUCCGGAGAGGCGCCAGGGAUCUGGAGCCCGCGGUUGGGGUCGCCUCCCAGUUGUCGGACCGCCAGGCCGCCCUCGUCCAGGGUCGGCAUCAACGACAGGACCGAUGACCGCAAUGCCUGGUCCUCGCACAGGGCCUUGACCCCGCUCGGGAGGACCAGGGACUCCGGGAUGAAUGCCUCGCCGGUCAUCGCCCGGACCGCUGCCUCCAGCUCCGCCCUGGUGAAGUCGCCGCCGGGCCCGCGUGCGAUCCUGCAGCAGUCGUUCAGCCCCGUGUACACGUAGGCCAUCCGGGACCGCUGCUGCAGGGGCGCGAUUCGCCGCUUCAAGAAGUCACCCAGCACCAUCAUAGAAGUCAGGCCACUCCUUGCCAGCUUCUUGAUCCGGUACAACACUGGGUCGAGCUCCGCCGGUAUUGUCGGCCUGGCCUUCCAGGUGCUCCGGUCGCUCUGGGGGCCCUCCGUUGGCAGCUCCAGGCGGUCAUGAGGCUCGUCAGCCACGAUGACCCAGCCUUCACGCCACUCCUCCCACUUGGAGCUGGAGAAAGCGGCGAUGUAGGAGCCCGCCAUCCCGUGCCGGAGCUGGAAGUAGUAAGCGCCGAUCUCGCCGCGCUUCUUCCCGGUCCCGACUAGGGAAUAGAAAUGUUUGAAGAUGGUGGUGCAGGGGCGCACCCCCACUCUCUGCAGGUUCAUCCCUCUCCCGAGGUGGGCCUGGGGGCCUCUGUCGGUACACACAGAUAGGGGUACCUCCUGCUAGGGUGUCCAGGCCCUUGGCUUCUCAUAAUCCAUGAACACCCCGUCACCUCUGAGUCACGUGGCAUACGGCCUCCGGGCCUGACUGCUGGGACCACGGUCUCCGGACCCUCCCCGGGCUCCAUAAGGUCCGGGGCCUCUGUACACCCAGGCGGGUGGGAGAGCCCUCGGGUAGCUCCUGCAGACCUGGCCUCCCCUGGGAGGUCCGGAGCCGCCACGUGUGAUGGCCAGACCAUCACAGGCCAGCCCGCUCCGACCAGCCACGGGGACCUCGGACCCCCCUUUCCCCAGGGAAGGGGUCCGGUGCCGCCACGUGUUGCCCGGCGGGAGGAGCGGGGCUGGCCCCGCCGCGUGCCUACGGCCUGAGGCCCCUUACGGGUCGCCUCCUCACCUACCCGCAUUCAAUGCGGUAGCUGAGUCGGGCGCGCCAAAGUCAAAAGGUGCGGCCUGCCACUGACACACGGGGCAGGUAAGCUGACACCGCGGUAAGCCCGCCCGUUCUGAAGGCGGCGCGUCGUAUCACCGCGCACAGUACGCGGACUGUGUGCAGUCCCGUCACGGCGCUGCGCGCGUGAUGAUGGCCUGUAAUAGGCGAGCCAAGGCGUGCGCUGUAACAGUGCACGCGUCACGGGACAGCUCCUUCUCGCCCUCUGACCGAAGGUCCCAUCCCAACAGUGACAGCACGGCUUCACUGUUGGGUAACGCUGACGCCGGACACUGUACAAGACAAGGCUGUACACGGCCAUAUCCUGGCUGUAGAUACGCACAUCAACUUCUCGAUCGAGAGGACUACGGAGAGGAGCUCGAGGAGAUGACCUCUAUAUCUCUCGUAGAACAGCUCCUAUUGGCCGGGCCCACCUGUCGGGGUCCCGCACGGUGUAAGCACUCCCCUUGCACUAUAAAAGGGAGAGUGUACUCGUUAGAAUACAGGGUUUUCAACAAUCGGCGGCUCACACAGCCAAUACAACACCAAAGUGGACGUAGGGUAUUACGCUCCGGCGGCCCGAACCACUCUAAACCUUCGUGUCCUUCCUGUGUUCAUCUGUCCACCGAUCGAGCGCUCCUAAGUCCCCUCCAAACCCAUCCUUAACUAGGAUUAGGCGGGUGCUUUCCGCCACCCGGCUGGAGAAUUCCUCCGACAAAGAUCUUCUUGAUAAGGGUUAUAUACGUCCAAGUGCUUCACCUUGGGGUUGUUCUGCUCUCUUUGUCAAAAAGAAAGACAAUAGCCUAAGGCUAUGUGUCGAUUACCAUCUACUCAAUGCGGUUACCAUCAAAAAUAAGUACCCUCUUCCCCGCAUUGACAUUUUGUUCGAUCAGCUAGCCGGAGCUAAGGCCUUCUCUAAGAUUGACUUACGCUCUGGUUAUCAUCAGAUCAAGAUUAGGCCUUGUGACAUUCCAAAAACGGCCUUCUCGAUCAGAUAUGGACUUUAUGAAUAUCUGGUUAUGUCAUUUGGACUCACUAAUGCACCGGCAUAUUUCAUGUAUCUCAUGAAUUCAGUAUUCAUGCCGGAACUCGACAAAUUUGUCGUGGUCUUCAUUGAUGACAUUCUAAUAUACUCCAAAACUAAAGAAGACCAUGCUAAUCAUUUAUGUGUCAUUCUUCAACGACUACAUGAUCAUCGCCUUUAUGCCAAAUUCUCGAAAUGUGAAUUCUGGCUAGAUAGUGUGAAAUUUUUGGGACACACUGUCUCUAGUAAAGGCAUAUCGGUUGAUCCAACCAAAGUCCAGGAGGUUAUGGACUGGAAACCUCCAACUUCAGUCCAUCAAAUCCGAAGUUUCCUUGGAUUGGCGGGAUAUUAUCGCCGAUUCAUUCCAGACUUCUCCAAGAUAGCCAAACCGAUGACUGAGCUACUUAAGAAAGAAGUUAAGUUCCGCUGGAAUGAUAAGUGUGAGGAAGCAUUUCACACCCUGAGAAAACUUCUGACGACUGCCCCAAUACUAGCUCAGCCGGAUAAUACUCAGCCUUUUGAUGUCUAUUGUGAUGCUUCUAGAAUUGGCCUUGGUUGUGUUCUUAUGCAAAACAACCGGGUUAUUGCUUAUGCAUCCCGAGCACUCCGGACUCAUGAGCAAAAUUAUCCAACACAUGAUCUUGAAUUGGCAGCAGUCAUCCAUGCUCUCAAGAUCUGGAGACAUCAUCUUAUGGGUGCUAAGUGUAAUAUCUACACUGACCAUCAAGGAACAUUAUGGUUCAACAAUCGAAUUGUUGUACCUAAAGAUCAUCAGCUUCGCAAGCAAAUCCUUGAUGAAGCACAUCUAUCCAAGUUCUCUGUUCAUCCUGGUAGCACCAAGAUGUAUCAAGAUCUACGGCAACAUUUUUGGUGGACCAGAAUGAAAAGAGAAAUUGCUAAAUAUGUAUCCGAGUGCGAUACGUGCCAGAGAGUCAAAGCCAAUCAUCUCAAGGCAUCUGGUACACUUCAGCCAUUACCCAUUCCAUCAUGGAAAUGGGAAGACAUUAGCAUGGAUUUUAUUGUCGGUCUUCCCAACACAUCUCAAAAGCAUGACUCCAUAUGGGUAAUCAUUGAUAGACUCACAAAAACAGCUCAUUUUUUUCCUGUGCAUACCACUUAUUCAACUAAGAAGUAUGCAGAGAUCUAUUUAGAUCAAAUCGUUCGAUUGCACGGUGUUCCUAAAACUAUCAUCUCUGAUAGAGGACCCCAGUUCAUUGCACGCUUCUGGGAACAGUUACAAUCAGCUCUUGGAUCCAAACUGAUACGAAGCUCUGCGUAUCAUCCUCAAACGGAUGGAUAGACUGAGCGAGUUAAUCAAAUUCUUGAAGACAUGCUCCGAGCUUGUAUUAUUCACUAUGGUACAAGUUGGGACAAGUGCCUUGCUCUAGCUGAAUUCUCUUACAAUAACAGUUAUCAAACUAGUCUUCAAAUGGCUCCUUUUGAAGCGUUAUACGGUCGCAGAUGUUGAACUCCUUUAAGUUGGUCUGAGACCGGUGAACGCAAAAUCUUCGGACCAGACCUAGUUGUUGAAGCCGAAGAUAAGGUUAAGGUUAUUCAAUCUAAUCUUAAAACUGCUCAGUCCAGAAAGAAAAGCUACGCAGAUAAGAGGAGGAAACCUCUGCAAUUUCAAGUAGGAGAUUUUUUCUAUCUCCGAGUAUCUCCUACCAAAGGUGUCCAACGUUUCGGCAUAAAAGGGAAGUUAGCACCUCGAUAUGUCAGACCCUUCGAAAUUCUCAAUGUUUGUGGCCCAGUGGCUUACAAACUUCGCCUUCUGUCUCAAUUGGCUGCUAUUCACGAUGUCUUCCGUGUCUCUCAACUUAAGAAGUGUGCCAAAGUACCCACGGAAAUCGUUGAGACAUGUGCCAUUGAGAUUGAACCCGAUCUAUCGUACAUCGAACAGCCUCUUAGAAUCUUGGAUACCAAGGAAAGGCUCACCAGAAAAAGGGCAGUUAAGAUGUAUAAAAUCUUGUGGGAUCAUCACACCGAAGAAGAAGCAACUUGGGAGACAGAAUCUUAUCUUCAACGAAAUUUUCCGAAUUUCCUUUAAGCCAAUCCUCAAAUCUAAUCGUCUGAUUCUAUUCAGCUUCGGAAUCUCGGGAUGAGAUUCUUUUUAGGUGGGAAGGCUGUAACAUUCAGGUAAUUAAGGGUAUAGACACUAGGUAUUAAUGUGAUAUAGGUAUGCUUGCUAUAAUACAUACAAGUUGUACAAAGAACUAGGGGUAUAUUUGUAAAUUAUGAAUUUUAUAAGUCCCUAUGUGUAAUUGUGUAAAAAUGCUAUUAAAUGUCAAAUUCAAAUGACCAUAGAGAAGAAAAGUACAAAUAUUAAGUUAAAACCUAAGAGAAAUAGACUUUGUAUGAAACUAAGGACCUAUGUGUAAUUAACACAAAGAUAUAAGGAUUUACAUGUGAAAUGGUGAAAAGAUAAAAGUAAAACUCAGAUUUACUUAAGGGUUAAAGUGUAAAAAGGUUAGUCAUGAUUACACUGCAUGCAAUUUGGCAAAAAGGCCCUAAACAUUAAAGCAUUUUGUUUGAAUUAUAACAAAAGCCUUACAAAUUGAGUUGGGUUCCAAAUUUUAAAAUAAAACUGUAUCCUUUGAGAUUUUGAACUUGAACACUAAAGCAUUAUUGUAGGGUUUGAAAUUCUUUACAACUUUGCUUUAGACAUUUUUCUCACUAGGAUUUUGUAUCAAUGGGAAAUCUCUCUUUACAGAGGGGUCCCUGGAAUUUUCUCAAAUUGCAAACAAGUCCUACUGACACCCGCUGCUGCUUCUUCCUCUGUCACCGCCACUUCCCCCUCUGCUUCGCUCUGCCACCGCCGCUCACUGCCGGCGCAGUGCCCGAGCUCCACCUCCAGCUACUGCAUGUGCCCACGCGUCGCCCCCUACCUCCCCCACCUUUGCUCCCCUCCCUCCCUGGCGUCUUCUGCGCUCGCCACGCGCGCGCCACCGCCUCUCGGCCGCCACCGAGCCGCCGUGGCAAACCCCAAACCGAGCGCCCAGUCCUCGUGCUUGUGCGCGCUUGAGCACUACAACUACCCCGCGGAGCUAAUGGACGCAUUCUUUCCUUCCUUCUCCACUCCCACGCCUCGGAACGCCGCCGCCAUUGCCGCCCGAAUGCCGGCGAGCUCAAGCUCACCGUCGCCCCACCCCUCCACCGCUGCUCCGCAUGCACUGACCCCGCCUUCAGCUCCACCUCAUCCUCGCGCAGCUGCCCGGCCAAUCCCCUUCCCCGCGCGGACACCGGAGCGCCGCCGCGCCGUUCUCCCCGGCCGCCGCCUCUGCCUCGCCGUGGACAGGCCCUCACAGACCUCCCCGACCCCAUCCGAAACCUCCCGAAGGUCGCCCUCGACUUCCUCAUGCUGUUCCCCCUCUUCUCCCCCGCCGCCGGCGACGAGCCUCGCCGGAAUCGACGGUCAAAGAUGUUUCCCCCGCUCUGAUUCCGGCCAGGGGCUACAUUGCAAGCAUUCAAAUUCUUCUAGGGUCCUUUAUGCAAAGUUUCAGUCCCUUCCUCUAUUUCAAAUCAGUGAAGUUCAAAAAUGUGUAGGAAAAUACCAAACUUGUUGGGUUAGAAUCCUUGUGAGGAAUUCUACAACUUUUAUUUCAUGAUCAUGCUAUGAAAAUGCAUAGUUUGUUCUGUAUUUUAAAUACAAGUAAAGGGAUGCUUUAAUUGAAUGUUGUGAUCUAUAGCCUUGCUGCUGUUGAUUUUUGGAGCAUGUGUUGCAUAUGAUUUGAGUAGCCUUGUGUAAAUUUUUGAGGCUUAGAUCAGCCCUCUAGCUAGAGUAUUUUGUUACCUUUGUUAUAUGUUAAUAAAAUCUUGACAAGUUUAUUACAAAAGCAUCUGUGCAUAUUUAUGGAUAAAAUUUCUACCAUAACUUGACCUUUAAAAGUGUGAUUCAUCAUAAAAAUUUGAGAAUCAUAAACCUAAUAUAACUUGAGUUAUAAGUUUCAAGCUUAAAUUCAAAGGUAAUUCAUAAAUAAUAAUUAUUAUGCAUGAAAAAUUAUGAAACUUUUCUGGAAUACCAAUCUUGAGUAGUUCAUGAUGUCCUUCAAUUUUGAACCCUAGUGUUAGUGUAAAACUCCAGUUAUAAUUGCAUCUUGAAAUCUCAAUUUUGAUCUUAUUUAAUUUUGUGGCUUAGUUCCUUUUAGAAUAAAAUUCCAAUAAAACUGCAGUAAAUGUAUCUAAUAUCAAUCUAUGCUCAGUAAUUUUUGUAGCUCCUGUUUUUAAGUAUCUUGCUCUGUAAAAUUCAUUCAAGUUAUCUAUGUAGUUUACUUAAGUUAACUAUUGUGAUUUAGUUAUUGCACUAAAUAUUCUGAAAAUAUUUUAGGGUACUGUUCUUUAAUAGUAUAACCUGUUAUUAGAUUUCCAACCAAAGAUUUGGUGUCAAACAAAUUGGACAUAGUUUAAUUAGUCCAUAAUGUAAUAGUAACAUAAGUUUCAUAUAAAUAAUUAAUAUAACAAAUAACUAAAGUUAUUUAAUAUAAUUAUUAGAAACACACCCCAACCUGUUAUCCUAUGCCACUAGUUAGAUAAUUAGUGUAAUCAACCCUGAUGUUUAAUGGGUUUAGAUAAAAUAAGUAAUACUCAAUAAAUGACUGCCCAGUGCAGGGUAGUUAGGUUAUUUGUCGGAAUGAAAUAUUCUUUCAUUUGGAUUGCAACUUUAUUGUGAAUUAAAUUAAAAGUAUAUGCAUCCCAUAAUUUAUACUUUUGCACGUCAUGUAGACUCGACCACUCUCGCCGACGGAGAUUACCAGCUAAUCCGGGAACCAGAAGGAGUUUGUUCUGAAGACCCCAGGAACCUCGUCGCGGAAUUCUCUGAAGCCCCGAACCAAGGUUCGGAAGAUAUUAACUUGACUGACCCCAGCCCCACCAGCGAAGGCAAGCCCCGGACAUAACCCUUACUUUAUUUAUACUGCGAACUAUAUUAUUUAUAUAUAUCUUUAUGCAUUAAGUUCUUAGGAAUUGUCUGGAACCCUAGUUGCAUAAUUCCAAGAACCAAUGUAUUGAACCCUAGAACUUGAGUCCGACUAGCUGCUAUGCUUAUAGGACCGGUAGAAGUCGGGUGAUUUCCUGUCACUCGCGCAAUAUAGGAAUUGUAAUGUUUACGUUCAUGUUAUUCACUAUAAGGAUGACGGACGGGAAUUUCAUGGAGUAUCAUGUUUGAGAUGAUACCCCGUCUGUGUUGAUUGAACUGGAUAAGGCCGCAGUGUGUGGUAGCGGUGGUUAAGCGUUUGAAAGUACUAGCCACAUGCCGCGAAAUAUGGUAAGCGGUAAGCCUAGUAACCAAUCGGCCCGAGGAGUGGACAUACCCCCCACCACAUGUAUUUGCUUCUUUUGAUUACUUGGUUCGACGUGUAGGAAUACGUGUUGCUGGGCAACCAGGAGUACGGGUUUUGUAGUCGCGCUACAGACGUACAUCCUGCACUUUAGAAGUGCGUAUGGUCCUGCAGUCGCUUGUGGUGGAUCUGAUCCACGAGUCGGAAUGAAAGGCAAACGGUUGCUUCGGAACGACCCUUUGGUGUUCCAAGCGUGUGUGUUAGGUUUACCCUUGC